UCGCUGCUGGCGCGGUGCUUUGCUGGCGCCGUGCGUCCCUACUACUGCUGGGCAUCGCUGAUGGAGUCGCAAGCUCUGGCGAGCGCAGCGUGAGUAGCUGGGUUGUUAUUGGGGGGAUGGAGGAUGACGUGAUGUAGGAAUGCUAGCCACGAUGUACGACAAUCAUGUUUGGUUGGCGGCCGGCAAGUGUCAGCAGCAGCACAGCGCAGCAAACCAUACUAUUAAAGUCAGCAAAGCCGAGUCAGCACUGCUAGGCGCCAACCAAAGAGUGACUGUCGUACUUCGUGUGUCAUGCAUCUGUAACUUUAACACUAGUUUUCCCAUAGCUUACUAAAUGUUUCCCCCUCACCCAUCCGCCCGCUACUGCUUCUGCCCUUCCCCUGUCGCAUCAUCCUUAUGACCGGCUCGUGGCGAGGAGGCGGCGAGGAGGCAUUCCCAUUCUCAGGCGUGGCGACGAGGAGGGUAGGCGGUACGGCGGCUAGACGGCUUGGCGGCAAGGUGGCGAGGCGGCGAGGAGGCAAAGGGGAACUAAAGGGGAACCCCUCUAGUUCUUCAUGUCUGCUUGUAUGUCGAGUUCAUGUGACCGUAGGUGGACUAGCGGGACAUGCGCGGCAGCUUGGCUUUGGCAUUAGGUUUUUCUCAACGACCCUCGUGACGUGGCCGAAAACUACUCAUGCACACAUCUGCUUUUCGGUACGCCCCUUGUGGUGCAGCUCUGGGUUCGACCCCCACGGUGAUCGAAAGGGCCUGGUGGCUGGAGGUUCUCUUGGGGUUGCGUAGGCCCCGGACGCAAGAAAGAAGCAUGGCCCGCGUCCCGAUAUGCAAGCGAAAAGAGGUCGACCGUGCAAAAGUUGUACUUACUUUUCUGCCAUGUGUUUUGACAGCUUGUUCUAUAUCUGGUAUUGCUUUCUAAUUAUUCAGCACGAUAGCAUGGCUUGCCUACUUUUCGGUCCAUGGACGGACCGUGAGCGAACCAUCCAUUUUCCCAGGGACAAGAUGGAUGCAACAUUGUUGCUUUGGUGUUCGAGGUGAUGAAUGUAAGGAAAGGUAAUUCAUUGCCAGAAGCUGCGUUGAUUGUCAGGUUGUGGGAAUCCUAAGGUUUAUCAUGCCUUUAUUGUUCAGAACAAUUUAUUGUAUAUACUUAGUUUUGAUGCAUAUCGCUGCUGUAAGGGAUUUGUAUUCGUUACCGAGUACGUAUGGUUUGGCUUUGAUCGGUACGACUCUGUGUCGUGCAAGGCUUUGCCAGACUAUUUAAGGCAUUCCUACACCAUUAUUUGUAAGCUUAGUAUUCUUCUCUUCCUUGUCUCUCAGUCAGCGAUUGAUGUCGGGCUCUGCAGAUCGGGCAAGUUAGGAACUAAUGCUUCCUCCAGUCGCCAACUGGAGCCAGUUCCUUUCAUAUGGUAUCGAGACCAGGUUCAAUCCUGCCUCGGUCCGUAUUGGAGCUGUUUUCCCAUCGUCACUGCUUUUGCACUUCGCGCCACCGCACGAUCGUUUGUUUGCCGGCCCGUGUUGCCGGUCGUUCACCCGCAUCUCGUAACUACCGGGUUCAUCGCUCUUCGGUACUGACAUUCAGCUUUGUACGCUACUGUUGUGUGCAAGUCGGCUCAAGUCGCUCCACUCCGAGUGUAACAGUUGGUGUCACAACUUGAAAUCGGAGCUCUUUCCUUUUCAGUUGGAUCAGAACGCCUUACCGUCGUUCGACAGUCGGCCAAGUUUGGACACCUUGCGCUGGACUGCAGUUUCACGUUCGUUUCGGGCUCAAGAAUGGGCCAUAUCCGUUUGCUUCUAUCGUUUGCGGAAGCUGACAACCCGCCGUCUACCUCGUUCGUUCAACGUUAAUCGCCGUGCCCUGGUCGCCAGUAUGCCUGCCCGUCGUGUAGGUUGUAUGCGUGCUCGUGUUGCAGCAGCCUCCACGGCAGGAGUGCACCGGGUUGACAGCGACUGGAUGCUUGCGUACCCCACGUUUCACGAGUUCAAUCGUUUUCGUAAUCUUCGUCGUCGAUCCAACGUCACGCUAAAGGCCAUCACAUCUCAUCAUGCCAUGGAGCUCGAUGUUGGCCCUUGUGUCGGUGUGCCCCUGUGUUUUGGCUCAAGUCGACCGGGGCGCCCAGCCGAGUGCUCAAAAGAGACCUACCAUCACCUUCACGAGAUUCUCCGUUCUUACUUUCCUUCGAGUUCUCAUGUGUGCUUAUGUGUGCAGUAGAUGCAAUCAUUCCGGAGCUCACACAGUCAUGCGUUUCAUUUGAGCCAAGCUAUGUUGUCUUUGGGUUUUCCUUAGCUGGAACACCUUGCCUUAUGUGGUUAGCUGUCUGAGUCCCAUAUGUAGUCAUGCCAUGGCAUUGUAUGGGGGUGCAGUUGCCUGAGCAUGCCCACUGUUGUGAUGAAAGCAGUGAGUUGCAGUAUGCAAGGGAACCUUGUGCUUGCGACUGUAAUGGCAACGAGGACGUUGCAGCUUUGAAAGACCGGGGAAAUUUAAGGGAUUUGUGUUCGUUACCGAGUACGUAUGGUUUGGCUUUGAUCGGUACGACUCUGUGUCGUGCAAGGCUUUGCCAGACUAUUUAAGGCAUUCCUACACCAUUAUUUGUAAGCUUAGUAUUCUUCUCUUCCUUGUCUCUCAGUCAGCGAUUGAUGUCGGGCUCUGCAGAUCGGGCAAGUUAGGAACUAAUGCUUCCUCCAGUCGCCAACUGGAGCCAGUUCCUUUCAGCUGCGGUGCAGAUGUGGCCGAUGCAAGGAAAUUGUGUUCGUCACCCAACAACAAUCCGAGGCCCCUGUGAGCUUUGGUACACAUAUAUCAAGAGGCGAAAAUUAUUUCUUCUCAGUUGUGUGUGUGCGACUGUAUGCUGCGGUGCAGUGAGUCCCAUGCCUCGUACACAUUUCAGCGUACGUAAGCAUUUCGGACGCAGUGCAAACCUAUUUUGUUAAAUUCACAUAGGCCUGAUAAUUCUGUAAUUACUUUGAUGCGCUGUGCCAACUAUUGUUGCCAAAUGCGUUCACUGGUGGUUUUCGGCAUGUUUACACUUGCCGCAGGUGAGCUAUUGAUAGGCAAUUAUCAGCCUUAAUGCUGCGAGUUUUAUACGUCAAGCACGUAUGCCUUUUGCCGGGAGCGUUCCGAUGAAAAUGAAUGAGACAUGCUUUACCGUCAGGCGAGCUUCUUGGAAUUACAGCUGGCGUGACACCCUCGUGGAGUCCUAUACGAAAAUGUGACUAGCGACUGGACCCAAUCAGCUGCGGAUCUGAUGCGAAGCCAUGCUCUGAUGUCUGGUCAAUCGGAUGGCCAGUUGCACACGUCGGUCUAUGAGCACACCAGCAGCCAUCCUAACAAGUAUGCAAUCUUAACAUCUCUGAACUGCAGGCGCGCAAUCAGAUCACUUCUCUUGGCUUAGUACAGGACGUUGGCGUUGUCGACAUGUCAGCUCAACUUGCAGCUGCCGCAUGUUACGAAUCACGCGUGGUUCUGCGAAUCUGCGCAAACAGGUAUUUUUGCCUUGUGGCGCAAUAUUCAAGCAACUGCUCCCCAGCGGUCGUGUGCACGCGUGUAUUUGCAUCACAUCGCCCAACCAAGCAGCAAACAGCUCAAAGCCCCAGCCCAGCCCGCAUCUCGUGUGUCGUUGCGCAUUGUGUGUGUUGUGUGUGUGUGAUGCCUGCUGUAAUACAUUUGCCAUAUUGCAUAUUGUCAGGUUAUUGGUCUGACCGUCCUGCUUGCGCCCUGCCUAAUCCCCUCCCUUCCCCCAUUGCGGGGCGCGCCUUGGGCUCGGACAUGCCUGAGUGCGAUGCAUUCCCGGCGAUGGAGGACAUGACAAGGUGAUAUCAUCUUCUUGAUGGGCAUCGUUGGCGAGUAAAGGGCGAUGACUUCAGCUUCGCCCAGAUACAUGUACGGUGGGUUUUAGGGAUCGCAGGGGGACAAUAUCGCAGGGGGACGUGCCGCUUGUCGUACCUUCGUGUGAAGUGCGUAACUGUAAUGUCCUGUCGGGCAUCCUCGUGCAAUCAUGUUUGGUUGGCGACUGGCAAGUCGCAGCAGCAGCAGCAGUAGCAGCAGCACGCCAGCAGCAGCAGCACAGCGCAGCAAAGCAUCUUAGGGAAGUCAGCAAAGCCGAGUCAGCACUGCUAGGCGCCAACCAAAGAGUGACUGUCGUACUUCGUGUGUCAUGCAUCUGUAACUUUAACACUAGUUUUCCCAUAGCUUACUAAAUGCUUCCCCCUCACCCUUCCGCCCGCUACUGCUUCUGCCCUUCCCCCGUCGCAUCAUCCUUAUGACCGGCUCGUGGCGAGGAGGCGGCGAGGAGGCAAUCCCCCGUAAACGGCUACGCGGCUCGGCGGCUCGGCGGCUUGGCGGCUUGGCGCGACGUUGCGACAUACCCGUCGAGAGGAUUCUAUGACACGUAUCGUAUGCUCGUACAGGUGAGCGAAAAGCGGACGGUUAGCGUGUGUACGAUAAUUGCAUCACGUGUUGACCACUGUAAAGCACACUGACUUGGGCACAUGUCCUGCAUGCUUAGCGAGGGUUACACGGUCAAGGUUGGCUGGCGGUCAGCAGCAGCAACAAACCCUGUAGGAAAGAUGGCCUGCCUUUACUGCAGCAGUAGGAAAGACAGAACAGCGCUGCUGACUGCCAGCCACAUGAUCGCUCCGCCCGGAUGUGCGUGCUCUUUGUUUGGAGCCAGCUUUUUGUAUGCGCGAAUUCUCUCCCGUUUGGUUUUUAACGUACUACAUAUUACCGCCCUGUUGUCUCGUCAAUCUGAUUUUGCCAGUUCUCGCCGGUACAUGUCGCAUGUCGCACGUACAUGCGUCAGCUCCACCUCCGCAUUCCCCUUUUUAUUCAAGGUCUGUGGCGUCAGCUUCACCCGGCUGCCUUGACUGCUGCUGCAGCAGGCGGGCAGGGACAUGGAUGGGUCCCUACUGACUGGACUCCGCUACCCUGUUCUGACGGAUUGAAGCAGCGGCCGAAUCACCAGCUCUGUGCAUUAGCUUAAUCGGGCCUGCUGUAAUAAGCUACUGCUUGGCCCCGACAUUGCGGACCAGGAACAGCAGGUGCUUUCAGGGGGAGCAAUGUGCUUCUAAAUACCACCCCCCACCAUCGAGCGCAAGCUUGGCAAAAGGAGUAUUUUGCCGUGCACUGGUCCGUGGCCCAUCCCUGUUGUUUUCAUACCUUUCUCGGCCUUUUGGCUCAGAUCAUGUGUAGUAUCUGUUCUUAUUAGCUCUUUCCGUCGCACUCCUGCGACUUAUUCUAGCCCUGUACGGUCCAGCCGUACACACCAAGGACAUUCAACCGAGUACACGCUCGGCAAAUACACAGAAAACGUAGGUUUUCUUUCGUUUCGCUCAUAAAGCCUACUAGUACAGUUACAGGCGCGAUAUCUGACGCGCAGCUCCACCUCCGCAUUCCCCUUUUUAUUCAAGGUCUGUGGCGUCAGCUUCACCCGGCUGCCUUGACUGCUGCUGCAGCAGGCGGGCAGCUAUAGGGACAUGGAUAGAAGCGGUCUCGAUUCCCAUUGCAGGGAGCUGGCAGCUUCAUGGAGAGGCCUCUCACGGUGCUGUUGAAGUGCCCUUGUGCUUAACUGUAUAAGAUGAUAUGUGUGCCAUAUACUGUUAUACGUAUAACAGUGGUAUACCACAACUUCAGAGACGUACCAAUCGGUGGAUGCAGAUCUCAUGAUAUGCCCGGGGUACUCUACACAUAUUAUGAACAGCUGCUACAUUCAGGACACCCUCAACCUUCUCACGCAUGAUGACUUCUGAUAAGUCAGUGAUUUUUUUCGGGUUCAGCGCCCACCAUCAUCCAGUGGAAUUGCCAGAUCAAUGGUGGUGACAUCUCCAUUCCACUCCACAUACACCGCUCCACUAUUCAACUCCACUCCAAACAGGAUCGGCAUCCAUGCAUCCAUGCAUCCUCUUAUGGUCGAGGAACGUUAUUCUGCUGUUCAUCAAGAUCGACUCUGGAACCUUCCGGGGACACUACACCGCACCUUGAAAACAUAUUUGUUGCAACUAGAGCCGUAUGUUGUAUGUUUAACAGCAGCUUUAUUGCACAUGCAGUUUAUGUACAAGCAAGCAAGAGGCAGAGUGGGUGCUACAUACUGAUGUACCUAUCUGACGGGCAUGCACACCCAGCCAUGCAUGUAUGCAACAGUCCAUUCCAGACAAAGGCAUGCCACCUGCGCAGGUCGCCAAUAUACCCACCUACUUCAUAUGAACCGUGCACACCACGCUGAGUCCAUUGCAUAUAACUGGGCAUCCUAUUAUCGACUCAUCCUUCUAUGUAGCCAUCCAGCAGAUACACGCAUGCCUAUGCACGUAUGAGGGCAUGCAUCCGUACAUGUUCAUAUGAACGUGUACGCUUGGGGAAAUGCAUAUCUGCAGAUUCUGCUAGACGGGGCUACACCAUACCUCCAUGCGGCGAUUGAUACCAACCACGUAAGUGCAGGCAGCUAAUAGAUCGUCAACUAUCCCUCAUUGAAACUUACAAAUUAAAAGGUAAUGAAACCGAGUUGGCGAUGCAGCAUGUCGGAGAGAAAUAUAGGUAAACGGUGCAGCUACUGCCCAGGCAGAAGGUUUGGAGUUUGCUAGGGUCAAAUCCCCCGAGGCAGACUUUGGCCCGACCCAUCAUAGAAAGCUGCCGAACCUGCUGCAUUGUCCAAUCCGCCGGGAAUUCUGAAACUAGUGAUAGGGUAUUGGAGAUGAACUCGCCCCAAGGUAGAGUGUUCCACACCAACGAUUGCUGUGUGAGCAUAUCAACGCUCCGGUGGCGGAACACAGCAUACAUUUGACUGGACUGCAUUCCAGCAUUGCCGACAAGAAUUAGGCCGCCGAGCCGGGCUGUAUUGGCCGUGGCACAACCCUGCAUGUGGCGCCCAAGGUGGGCAUUUGUGAAAGGGAGCGAGGAAAGAAGGGACAGAUAUGAGAUAUGAGGACUUUGCAGAGUCUCGCAGGGACAAACAUUCCAUUUCCUUGUAAAAAUGGGAAGGGGAACUAUUGUAGUUAACUGCCGAAUGCACAUGAGGUAUGAAGGUCUUCACUGCACACCAGUGAAACGCACUGAAACACAAGUGGUAGUGAUUACUGAACUGUUUAAUGCAUAUGUAUGGUUUGCUAGUGAGGUAGGCCUCUCUGUUCCUGGACAGUAAUAUCAGGGUGAACGGGCGAGGUGGUAGCCAGCACGUGUGCUUUGGCAAGCCUGGUUCUUGAUCCUUGAAUGGUUGAUCAUAUGGAUAGAUGGGGUGGUGGUCACAUGAUGGUUGCGAGUGUAAUUAAUAGUUUAUUACAACCUCCAAGAUUAACACAUACACAUAACAAUGUUAACAUAUUCUUACACUGUUAGUAGAAGGAGGAAGCGGUGCGAUGGCAGUCGGUUUUAGUUCAAGUGAAAAGCAGGGCAGUCCAGGUGACAGCAAUCUGCCCUCUACGACGAUGUUGUUUUCCACCUGUAUGUGCAGCGGACGAAAUGUGGUGAUAGAAAAAAUUGGAGUAGGGUGGAGCAUGGAUGGACUAUCCAAGCCUCCAUACACCAUCUGUAGUAGCUGGCCUCUGAAAAAGCUUCCCGAGAUGCUACUGGUAAAGCGCUUUGCGCAUAUUCAUAGUUGUUAUGUGUGCCGUACAGUGUACCAGCUACUACGCCAUCAAGCCAAAUGUCUGCCUGCCAGCUGUAGACACAUCGCCUGGAUGGUACACACUAUUACAUACACGCUGCAAAUUUUCGUUUGUUAUGCCAGAAGACUUUUCACUGUGACCCAUUGUUUAUGCUAACCCUUCGUAUUUUAAAUCUUUUGCUAGCUGUCACAUCUAACCAGUGCUUGGGCGUCAUAGCUAUCGUACGGUACGACACACAUAAAUAAAUACAUCUACAUGCUAAUAAAGCACAUUGUAGUAUCCUGGGCAAAUCACGGGAUAUGCAUCCUCCCAUCGGUACUUUCCUGACGUCGUGAUAUGGCACACAAUCACAGCCUUACAGGUAUGGGGUCACGCACCCCCAACCAUGUAACGCACACACGCACACACACACACACACAUACACACAUACACACACACACACAUACGCACAAUCACAGCCGCUUGCGAGGCCUUUCGGAAUGCAUGUCUCCCUCCUUUACCACAUUGUCGGCCAGCAAGUGUCCCAAAGCAAAUAUUAACUCCUUUGUAUCGCUUUUCAGCUUUUUGUAUCGCUUAGUCCUAGUCGGCGGGAUAUUGAUUAUUCCGCACGCAGAGCACUUGCAGUCCCAGGAUGUGGGCUCGCAUUCCCGGGAUGUGGUCCAUCCAUCAAUUGCGCCGGAAAUAACUUCACUAUUGCUCCCACAUGCAUGGCACCCGCUGCAGCUGUGUGACCCACUUCCUGCUUUGUUUGUUCUUAUCACAUAUCCCUCAAUAGACGUGCUUUGUCGCUGAUUCACAAACUGAAGAAGCAUUUGGCAAAUCGUACGAAAAUCGUGCAAUUCAGGCAUACAGACAGACAGACAGACAAACAUAUAGGCAUACAGACCUGUAUAUCACGUACUCGGAAAGGAUUACUUGGUUCAUCGCUUCUUGAGCAUGACAGGGUAUUGGGGGAUGACUGUUGUUGGUUAGGAUUAAGCAACCCUGCUGGUGGCCGUGCAGCCAGCUGUAUUGCAGAGCAGUCUACCUGACCCCACGCGGGAUUACCAACAGGUGAGCCAGGUGCGGGGCCCACCCCAACCGCCAGCCUCCAGUUUGCUGCGGCGCUUGGGCUGCUGGCGGAAGCAAGGCAACUGAAGCUGCGGCCGGGGGGGAAUAUGUAGUCGAAUACAUCUGACAGGGCGCUGUUGACCGCGUCCAGCAUGCUCUCUGUCUUCCCAGCAGGGAUUUGGGAACAAACGAAAACAUCCGUUGCAUCACAACUCCGCUGUACCCAAUCCUGGGAGAGGCCUCUUGAGUUCACCCUAUCGAUUACAAAUCUGCUGACCGCCUCCAUGAGGGUAGAACUGGAGACUUGGGACCUGCCACAGGUCUCGCUGGUGCUAGGUGGCAAAGAUGAAAUGAACAUCAGACGGAUACAGACCGUCGCUUGGGCUGGGGGUGGGGGGUAUGGCCAUGGAGGUGGUGGGCUGGGCGGCGGGGGUGGGGGUGGCGGAAGAGGAGGACGGGGAGACGGGCGAGGCGGUGGGGGGGGUGGACGGGGAGGUGGGGGAGGUGGUGGAGGGGGCGGUGGCGGCUGAGGCCGCCUUUGGCUCGGGAGCCCAGGGGUUUGGGGCCCAAGGGAGAUACAUGAACUCCGGCGCUGGAUGUUGUGAAAGCACAACCGGCCAUCUUGCGGCAGUGUCACAACGGAAGCGGUGAAGUUGUACGGGGCCGCAGAUCGCGGUGGACACCACUCAGGCAGCAAGUCGUCAACGAAGCGUUGGAGUAGUCCGUUCGCCAGUCGGUUAGAGGUGGUGCCGAUGACGUUUGGUCGGCGGAAAUAUGCACCGCACACAGUCAUGUAAGGGCGCUUCGCUGUGCCUGUAGCUGUCACAUUGCCAGGGUAACACGCCUUCAGUUCAAAUGGCUUUUGAAGGAUAUCACUCCUGCUGUAACUGCUAAUGGCUACACCAGUAAUGUUGUCCAUAGCCAAGGCGAUAGGGGAUGCCGCCUGGCUGCACCGCUCCUCGUCCAGCUCCAACCGAAAUCCAACCAUUUCCAAUGCGGGCGCCAUGACCUCAAUCUUUAUGCAAACCUCGCACACUGAUAGAGGCGGUCCCGCCGUCGGGGACGGCGGCAAUGGUGGUUUCGGGAGUCGUAAUGGAGGCUGGUUGGGUAUUGUUGGAGAGGGUGAUGGCGGUGGCAUGCUAAGGGAUGGGUGUGGCGGCGGUGGUGGGGGCUCCUGUAUCACACACGUUUGGGUGCUAGUGGCGUCGAACAAACAGGAGCGGCGCCCUUCUUGCACGUAGCCCCGUGUCGUGAAGCUGUAACCGUGAGCAGCAUCACCGCAUGCGGGGCCGCCCCCGCUGGCCCCCUUGGCUGUCAGAUACCCCCUGGUAAGGAGAGACAUGGGCACAUCUCCGGGGCUUACGAAGUUGUGGAGCCGCUCUUUGGCCUUGUUGGCCUGGAAGGCUGAUAGGAACGUGCCGCACACUCGCAGGAGCUGCGUUGUGGUGAAGGCCGUCGUGCUGAUGAUGCAGAUGUCAAACCCAAACCCGCUGACGAGUCCACCCUUGGAAAGAUUUUCGAUGCGCAGCUGGUUGUUUAUAUAGUCUGUCACGAUGUCUGCGGCUUUGGAGCAAUUUAGCAAGAAGGUGAUUUGCCCAGCUGGUAAAGUGUGUGGCGGCGCCACGACAAGGAACUCCACGCAGAAUCGGCAAGGACGUGGGGAUUUUUGAAGGACUGCCGGCCGGCCGACGCUUGGGGUAUCGCCAGAAGCAUAGGAAUCUUCCAGAAGCCUUGGUUUACCUGGCUGAUCCACAGCAGCCUGGCGAUGUUCUGUAUACGCAACUGGCUUUAGUAGUCAAGCGAAGAACCGACAACGACGGGGAGUGCGAUGUCUCACCUGACGUCUUGGGCGAUGCCGCUGGGGUAGGCUGCGUAUAUAUUAAGUUUGUUAAUGACUGUUCGCUGCGGACGGGACAGGCAGUACCGAAAGCCCUGCGAGUGGAACAAGUCCGCGCCGUUGGCUGGGUAGAAACUUAGCUGAAACUGAGUCGCAUCCUACCGACGGCAAUCAUGGCAUAAGCUCUCAACUUACAGAAUUAUUAUAGCUUUGAUAAUAUAGAUACUACCCUCGCGCGCAUUGGCACGGAAAGCCCUUCGGCGUUCCAUGUCCUUACUAUUGCGCUACCAUGUCAAAGGCAGGAUGCUCUAUGCUAUAAAACUUGGCAUAAAUAUAGAUUUGUAUUUAUUUUGUGUUGAACUCCGUAUAAAUUAUCUUGGGUAGUGCUAGGGACGCACGGGUUAUCGUUCGCGGCGUUUGCGAGGUAGCAAGAUGGCAUAGCUUUUUUGGGGGUAUUUGUUGAUGAAAUUGUAUGCGUCGCAAAUUGUUUUGUAAUUGUAUAGUGUCUUUACAGGCAACUAUAUGACUGUGAGUAACUCGAUGCGUUUCAAGUCAUGGGCGAUUCAAGCAGAAACAUCGGCACGGGAGAUCGACGAAAAAUACGUACGAGCUUUUGCGGGUGGCAUAACAUCACACGCCUUUAGGCUCCAUCUCAAGAUUGCUCGGCGGACUUCCAGUUCGAACGCGCGCUACAUCGCCAUUCGUGGUUCCUGGCCUGCUAUAUAUGUAAAUCAACACUACAUCCAGGUUUCGGCGUUCAACGAGUGGUAGUAGAAAAACAAUGAACAACUGGCGAACCGCGCGCGCCAUGACACGCCUACUUCAGUAGCAUGCAAAACAUAGCGUCUCCUUGAGCUGCCCGAAGCACAAAUAGGAGCUAUUACCUACAUAGAACCAAAUGGAAGCAAUUGACGGCCUAAGAGUAGUAAAGCAUUUAGUAUUCAAUCUAACCAGGUAUACGCAGGUAGAGGCUCCUCUACCUGGAUCCAAAGGGCAGUCCUCGCCGGCAUUAGCUAUGCGCCCUAAAUAUGCAGGGCAUAUGACAAUCCAAUGACGCCUGAAUCAAAUGACGCUGUUGGUCACCGUCAGCCGGCAGGGCAUGUACCCUCCUUGCUUCCGUUUCCGCAUGUUGCCGCCCAUCUGCUCUUCUUGUCCCCAUUGCGGCUUACCCCGACCACCCUUUGCUUCGGGACAGUUCGUAACCUUGCUUAGUAGCCUUUGGGAGCCUAGUCGUGGAGUCCCUGCUCGCGGCCCUUGCAUCGGUGAGUCGUUACCUCGCUAUAUAGAGAGCAAACAUAUCACGAAUGAUGAUGCUCGUGGAAAUUUGUCUGUUAACUUAUUGGUUGGUAGGAAUGUCCCUAGGGCUGUCUGGUCCCCCCCACCCCCGGGGUCUGCUGCAGAUACCACUUUUACAGCUUAGUAACCCCCUGGCCCAACUCGUCCCCACGCUGCCCCGGCCACCCUGCCCUGCUAACUCACGCACCAUCUCGGAUUCGCCUUUAUGUGCCCCAGCUCGUUCACAAGGUUGUUCACGCCCCUACACGCCUGCAUUUGCACAUGCCCAUGUUCACAUGUUGGGGGCCCAGCCCACCAUGUCGCCUUUACGGAGACACGUAUGCAUGGGUGGCACGCACUGCAACAUUCCCUUGACGCCCAUAUUAUGGGUGAUGAAUGAAUGUGGAAAAACGACGCCAAUCCUGCUGUGUGGCAGGUACUUGCUCGCUGCAAUACCCCCGCACUCGCUCCCAAUCUAUCAGGCCCUUCAUUACCCUAAGUCCUCUCCUAGCCCGCUCCUGAGUAAUCUCGUGCCGUACCAGCGCCUGUACCGCUCUAGUGCGCCUCGGGGGUGUGCAAGGCGCGGUGCAGUGGCGGGUGUUUGGCCUAACUCAAAACCUCGUGAUCUACCGCAUCCGUCGACCUACGCACCCACCACCUUACUGACCACGCUCCACGCACGCUCCCGAAAUAUGUUUGCGGCGGACCAGAUUGUUAUAUGUAUGGGUUGACCGGCUAAGAACAAAGCAGCAAAGAAUGCAUCAGUACAUGCAUGUGCACAUUGCUCUUCCCCCAAGUGCAACUGUACACAGAUGCACGCACACAGAUGCACGCACAUACAGGGAAACAAGCGUUUCCUUCAGGUACACGCACGCAGGAAUAAGCAGCUCCAGGAAGAGGGGAUACAUACAGCCCAUAGCCACACGGGUCGCAACAACAGAAGAAGGAAAAGCAACAGUAACAACAACAACGAUGACGAUGACAACGACGACGCGUCAAAUGCGAACAGAGAGGUCUAUUUAGGUCUCCGCGUUCUGAUGGAGCUACAGCUCCAGCUCCGUACAGCCAGGUGUGUACGGCAUGCCGCAUUGGCGGCUCCAGGGUCGAUAUGCGGAAUAAAAAAUCCCACCGGCAGAAAAACUUCGUCCAAAGUGAAUCCAAAACCAGUGAAAAAAGGUGAGCGAGACAAUGAAAAGAGCGAUGUGAGUGAGCAAGUGAGCAGGUGGGCUCGUGGGCUGGUUGAGCAAUUAGAAGGUCCCCAGGAGGCGCCCCAUAUCAUCCGCCUGUCAGUCAUCCACCAGGUUGAGCGUCGGUCCCAAGCGAGGUACACAGACCGUGACAUUCGCAGCAGCACCUAAUGCAUGUAUGGACAAAGGUCCGAAGAGCCGGCCUCCCAUAGUUGGAAAGGCCAUGGGCGGUCAUGAAGAGCGAGUAAACGAACCAAGGUUCAUCAACACAAUCCUCCGACGGAUCAUCACGAGGGGGAGCCACUAACACAACUUGGCCCCCUUGCUUUAAUCCGAAUUGGUGAUGAGGGAUCUUCAACGUCGCAGAUGGAACCGUAAUCACAUCGCCAUCCACGCCAGCCAUACGUUUUAGCCAUACAUUUUAGCCAUACAUACAUACAUACAUACAUACAUACAUACAUACAUACAUACAUACAUACAUACAUACAUACAUACAUACAUACCCAAAAGUCCUUCCGAUGGUGGAAGGCAUUGCGCCCCUAGUUGAUGGACGGUGGUGACCUGGGAUAAAGUUAACCCGCGAGCCGACCAGGAAUGGAGUUGGGCCGCUGUCGACCCGGCAGAUUCCGUUGGAUGCUGGUGGUGGGUGCGGAACCUGAGCGAUCCACUGAGAAGUUGACUAGGGUGACUGGAUGAGGGUGCCCCGAAAUACCGGGGAAGGCAGGGUUUCGCAGGGUAGCUGCCACGGGCGAAGAUACACCCCCCUGUUUCACACAUCAUACAUACCAAGCAAACGCACGGCCCCACCCUACUACUGCGGCGAAGACACGAAUCCCGUUCCACGCCCGCCGUUACUUGCCGUGCCUCCGUUGAGUCACAUGUGGUGCCGCCAUAACGCCCCCGCCCGGCACAGCCACCACCGCCCAGAGGCACCACCGCGGGGAUGAGGGGGAUGAGGGGGUUGUGGCCCGGUGCGAACAGACGGCCGUAAACAGCCGUUGCAGCUAAGAUAAGAAAAUAAAUCUAGAAAAGCCCCGCCACGCAUGAUUCCAUGCUGAGAGGCAAUAAUGAGGGCGUCAAAAAAUGGUUCAUGAAAACCGACCGACGUUUAGCCUGACGGAUGACGGACACACGCUAAAAAGCCACCCGCAACUGCCGAUCUUUGCAAAGGUGGAUAAUUGCUCACCUGCGCCAGCAACAGGUGAAUAGUUCGCGAGUGGCUACUUGCAGAUUGAGACCCCCGAACCCAAUCCCACCAAACGGCACAAAAUCACAUUCGGAUUCCCGAAUCGACCCCUGCACCGACGGCAAUUCAAUCUUUUUCUUCCCCCCUCCGUAUUGAACCCCAUGCGCCCCCAUCUGCCAAUCCAGUUAUCUUGGCACCACCCCAUGAAUUGCGCACGGCGAUUUAUGUCGUACGUACGAACCAUGCAGUACAUGCUCAGGACGGGUAACUAUUGUCAUGCCGACGCCAAGUUAUCCCUGCUUGCAGGAGAUAUGUAUAUCGGAGUAGGCUGGAAAUCCAAGGCUGGAAAUCCAAUGAAACGCCCGACCACGUGCCGUACAACAAUUCCAAUUCACAAUGGUGUAAGCGUGCGACAGAAGGUCGCUGUGAAUGUCGCAUGUGCGUUUAUCCUCUUCGUAUGGUCCAUGUGUGAGCCGUAUCGGUGAUUAUGUCAGGUAGGGGACCAAGUAAAAACUACUCCUGCACACCUCUGUUAUCGGGUUUCGACCCCGCACACCCCGAGCCGCCGCCCAGCCCAGCCAGAUACGACACAGCGCUUCCUGCCAUGAAUGAGCCGGUAUAGCCGAAAGCCCAACCGUGCAUAUGUAGGCAGCCUACACCUAAGCACGAACCUGAGCACACCUGCAAGUCGUCCGGCGUGUGUGGAAACACCACACAUCACUUGCAAAACACAUCACUUGCACUUACCGCUUUGCGGGCCCCAUCCCUGCAUGCUUUAUUACUCCUCCAUUGCUAUCAUCAGCGCCCUACCUCCAGUCUAUCUACACAAUGCCCUCUUCUUAUUCUUCCGUGUAGAGGCAUUUGGUUCGGUGUUAUCCAUGCAUGUGAUGUGCAUGUGAAAGUUAAUGAAUAUGCACUGAUAACCCGCCAGGGUCCCCCCUAGCUACCUAAUCCACCAGGGCCCAGGGCCGCGUUACCUGCUACCCCCCCUGCUACCCCCUGCUACCCCCCCUGCUACCCUCUGCUACCCCCCCUGCUACCCCCCCCGCACCCCUGCAUUCAAUAAUCAGCUAGUCACCGGGAAGGUGGCUGAAUCCGCCGGGCAGCACGACGCGCUGUAGUACAGGUGUACGAUACACGUAUCACCCAUGCAGAAGUCCCGGAGCAGUUUUGGUUCGAUGUCCAAACACACGCGAGCUCGUCCCACAGCUGACUGGCUCCGGACCUGGUCCACCGUCCACCUCGAUGGGAAGUCCUUGGGGUCCAUCAACUGUUCCAGGACAGCCAGCGUGUCGGGCACGGUGGUGCUGACGUUGCUGCUGCUGCUGCUGUUGUUUGUACUGCUGCUGCCUGGCAGGGUGUUCCAUAGCUUCCAUAUUGAGCUUGAAUUCGCCUGUAUGUCCCCCAGCGCUGUACGGAAGAUUAUGCUUUUGAGGGCUGAUUUCGCGGUGUCACUGGCCCGGAAUAUGAGGCCGGUCAGUCGGGUGGCGUUGCAGGCCUGAGGGGAGGGGAAGUGAGAGGGGAGGGGAGGGGAAGUGAGAGGGGAGGGGAGGGGGGGGCUGACACGGGGAUUCGACUGAGCCCAAGGAGAACACAAAGUGACGCAGCAUAUGUGCGGGAGCCGAACAUAGGAACUCAUUGGGAUCAGGGCCCGCAGCGGUCACGUUCGCAAACCUCCUCCCGCUUCGUUCGCUAAGCCAGCAGUGCACCCGUCAUUGCCAUAGCGUCAGCACUGCAGCCGCAAAAUAUAUCAAGUGCCGAACAUUUUGGUCGAUGGUCGGAUAUACGGCAUUCCAGCUGGCUCGGCGAGGUGCCGUACUCACAUUGGGCGGGGUUGUGCUGCUGUCUGAUGCCACCUCCAGCGCGAAGCAGGGAAUAGAUCGCCCCAGGGCUACUCCCUGAAUGGAGAUGUUGGACUCAAUCUGCAUUCGAACGACGGUGGUGGAUGGGGAAGGGGGAGAGUCGGGAAAGGAGUGACCCUCCGGGACGGCGUGUCUUAUCCAGACAACAAAACAUGUACCACUGGCCCCGCGUCUGCAGGGAUCCACCCCCACCUUGGAUCCUUCCUGACCCCCCCGCCCCCCCGCCCCCCCAACCCCCCCACCUGCACUUCCCGACGCAGCCUCAGUGGUCCAACAGACGACGCGUUGGAGCCGUACACGCACGGCAGGGGGACCAGAGGCCGGGGAGGGGGCGACAUCAACGAUGGCGGCGGCUGGGAGUUUCGUGACGGCGGUGGUGCCGGCGGUAUCAAACAGCUGCUGAAAGUCAAUGCCGUAACUGGCUGAGAGCUAAUCAACGGAUAACUGCCGUACCAUAGAAUGUUUUUACGUGACGCCAGUGGGGCGCCGCUGUCGUUGCAGAGCUUCUUGACAAUACUUGGUAGGACAAUUCCCAGCAUCUCGCUCAAGUCCGCAAAGUUGCUGGUUGUGUUGACGCUCGUGCAAAAGAUGAUAUCCGUAGAGGUGCAGACCUGUUGGGACCAGUCCAACUUCAGGUUGUUGCUGUUGGCGGCAUCCUUGAUUUUGUACAUCAGCUGCAGCUGGAAGGAGACUCUGGCCUCCUGUGGGCACGAGCUCCCGCUGGGGUUCCCCAUCUGCAGGCCCACACACAAGGACGGUAUUGGUGGUGGCGGAGAGGAGGGGCUGCGGGGCAUUGCCAUCGUAGCCGAAGCCGCGGCCACCCCCCCUUUCGCCGCCAUAAUAACCGUCGUACCCGCGGCCGCAGUCGACGCCGCCGCCAACCCGAGUGUGGUCGCCGUCUGACUCGAUUCCGCUGAUGUAGCCGCCGCCGCCGCCGUCGCCGUCGCCGUCAUGACUGUUGUUGCCGCCGCCGCCACUACACACUGCCGCUGCACUUCCUUAAAACCGAUGCAAGAUGAGUCGCUGCCAUCGCUGCCCCCAGAUACAGGUUGCCCGUAUGCCCUCAACGUGUAUCCUGCCAGCUGGCCCCCGCGUGACUCGCAGGCUGACGACCCCGAGGCCUCAGAGGUUGAGAGCACCCGGGCUGGAAGGCCCAUCAGCAACUCCUGGAGGAAAUCACCUAGCCGGAAGCUCCACACCGCCACCGCUCGAGAAUCAACCCCUUCCGGAUUGUUGUAUGAACCGCACACACGCAAGGAAGACGCAUCACAGCUCUCCAAGCGAAACUGCUGUCGCAGCGUAAUACCUGGGGCAGAGGCGUUGGCGUUGCCAUUAUCCAAACUGCCGUGGCUGUAGCCGUCGUCAUCAUAGUAGUUGUAAUUGUAAUAGUCAGUGCGCGAUGGAAUGCCAUUCAGGAAAGUGGCGAUCCGGCUCGCCAGGUCAUCGCAACUCUGACGACUCAGGGAGGGCGGGUCUGGCCGCAAUGCGCUACGGCCGCGCAGCAGCAGCUGCCCCAGUGGCGGAGGCGACGGCGACGGCGGCGGCGGCGGUAUCACCUCCACAUGGAUGCACACCGAGCACGGCGUAGAAGAGGAACCAGCGGGUGCUGGCGACGAGGCGGUUGACAUGGAAGAUGGCAGAAGUGGCAAAGGUGAGGGCGACAAUUUUGCCGACAACAACCGCCGCGGUGCGCCCGGCAAAAUGUUUGCCCCUAGCACAGCCAUCCGCCGCUGCUGCUGCUGCGGCGGCGGUGGCGGCGGCGGCGGCUGUAGCACAAGCUUUCGCUGCUGAGGCUGUGUCCUCUGCCUUGCCAAAAAGCGAGACGGCAGAAGCAUGCAGAAACGCCAGGACGACGGCGAUGUGGAUCGCUUCGACAGCGAGCUGUCGUGACCGGGAAGGAUACCGACGGGCCUCCUCGCUGCCACGGAAACGGCAGCUGUAGCAGAGCGCAGACCGGCACGGAGGUAGUAGGUACCGGCAGUAGUUAUAGCUGCAACGACGUGGCGGGGAGCUCCUCUGUAUGCUGAGAAUUUCAGGUGCCGCCCGUUGGAGGGGAGGGCGGAGUGGGACGGUGUCUGUGGAAAUGAUUGCGCGGGUAAGGGGAUCGGGAGAGAAAGGGAAAGCGGUAGUAGCGGUGGCGUUGGUGGGGUGGUUCUGGAUCGCGCUGGAGUCGGCACAGCUGCGAUCACUAAGGAGCACCAGGAGCCAGACUCGUUAGAGAGGCGCGCGGUGCAUAAGGCCCCUAGCGCCUGCUGCUGGUGCUGAUUUCGCUGGUGGCGAAGCUGCGACGAGGGCGGUUCACACCAGCCCUCGGGCGUAUCGCUGCAAGUGCCGCGGGUUUGCACCGCGAGACACACACGCGACCCAGUUGCAUUUGAGGACUUCAGGUUUAGACCCGACAGCAGCAGCUGCCCGCGGUGGGAGUCGGCCGGGCCAUUGCGAUACGACACUGGCACCGCGAUGGACCCCGGCCGACCAGGUACAUACAGCACCGCCGCCAACCUGCUCCUUGAAUUAAAACAUUCUGAUCCUGCAAGUUUAAUUAUGUAAGUAGGUACGUUGCGAUAUAGUUGACAGUGUGGAUUAGCAGCCAAGUAAAGGAAUGUUGCGCGACGCUUUUUGUAAUGUGCUCGGCGCUCGUGUACGCCCCAAACGAACCAACGCCAGUGGCACCAAAUUGGAGUGAGUGAGCUGUAGACAAGUUGGGUGUCGGCUUCAAGGAAGCCGGAAAAAGGGCGGGGCCCCUCUGCAUCCGUACAGGCCGGUAGCAAGGGUGGCAAGGGUGACAAUUGAUGGGUAGUGUCAACGCGGUGGGAGAUAUGCUUUGUUGCAGCAGUGCUGAUGGUGUGAGAGCUAAGCUUGCACUGGCGGAAUCGUCAGCACCGCCUGCGGGCUCCACGCGAACCGCAUCCAUUCCGGGUGCAUGCCGCAUGGACAGUGCGGCAGACCGCAAGUCGGAAUGCCCGUGCGGGCAAUGGUUACGAAAGCUGGGGUGAUUUCGGUGCUGUCUGUGAUGUUUAUCCCCCGAACGCCAGCGGCCUCAGCAAUCUGCCCCACAGCCGCGGGGUUCAUCGGGGCACACCGCAAGUCUCAGGAGGGCCCCGUGCAUUGGCCAAAGUAAAUGUACAAACAAGGAGCUUGUGUAUUUCAUAGAGAAAUGAAAGCAAAUUAUGUUGGCCUGCUGGUGGCAAGUCGGAUUGCCCAUGCCGGCAAAUGGUAACACAAGCUGGGUGUUCGAGUUAUCAUACGCCGUCAUCUCAGAAUUCCAUUGUGAGAUACGCGGCAGCUUUUGGGAUGAAAUUUAGCGCGAGAGGCGUUGAUGUGGCUUUUGAGGUCGGUGAAUGGAGGCAGCUAAACUUGUUUGUGCUCAUACGGUCUUUGUUAGCUACAUGCGAGAUACCUUGCAAUAGAGAAUGCUGUAUAGUACCGAUAACGCGUUUCAGCCGGGUGAAAUAUUCUGUUUGGUCCGUUACACACUCAAGGCCUGGGAGUUCGAGUUAUCAUACGCCGUCAUCUAAGAAUUCAAAUAUGAGAUACGCGGUACCUUUUGAGAUGAAAUUUAGCGCGAGAGGCGUUGAUGUGACUUUGGCCUCGGUCAAUUGAGGCAGCCAAACUUGUUUGUGCUCAUACGAUUUUUGUUGGCUACAUGCGAGAUACCUUGCAAUAGAGAAUGCUGUAUAGUACCUAUAACGCGUUUCAGCCGGGCGAGAUAUUAUGUUUGGUCCGUUACACACACACACACACACACACACACACACACACACACACACACACACGGACAUGGGCAAUCCUACAGGUCGGGGCCCCCCUGGGCGCUUCGCGCUGGGGCCCCGCCCAAAAAGGUUUUUACUUACGUACUGAAAUCGAUAUGCUCGAAAGCGUGGCAGACUGGCAUUGUAUGCCCGCACAGCGAUUUGAGUCGGCGAAGACGAGGAGACAAAAGUUAUCCGCGCGUUGCUGGUCCGAGUAAAACCCAAGCCGAUACAUUCCUGAUUGGCAUUUCAGUCCGCUUGAAGAAGCUGUCGACGAACUGCAGAAAACAAUGCGGCCAGAGGGCUUGCCAAUUCUGGCGCGAACAUUGGACAGGAUGAUUCCCCGUACCUAUGAUGACAGUGCAGACAACUUACAAUAUCGUGGCUAAUGCUACUAACAAGUAUUGAGCCUUGGCUGCCGCUCGGGCUCCAAGUCCGUGACAAGUGAGUCUAGGCAUGAGUUAUACUCUUUCCCGUUUCACAGCGAUAAAACAUUCGUUCAAUAUUCAAUUUAUAGCUGUUAAUGAACAAGAGGUUUGCAGCGCUUCUAGGAGGCAAAACCAUAGCGUCUGUUGAAGCGGUGUAUUACGUACGGAUUCAAAUUGCCUUAGACUGUAUGGGCCAAAGAGAUGGAAUCCAUCUACUUGGCAGAUCAAAAGUACUUCCAUAUGGACUGUGGCCAAAUGUGGGCAAGCAAGAGUUCUAUUGGGGACUCAGCCGCGGGAGUACGGUUACAUGCUAAUGGCACCGUCCGCCGCGCAGGAGGCAGGAGAGCGCACGUGGAUUAAGUCUGCUUCAUAACUUCACAAACUUCAGAGCACAAACUAUGUCUCAUUUGUUGACUUUAAAAUUUGGGCAAAAAUGGCAUCGAUUUCCUUCAGCUAGGCAACUUAAUGCAGCUUAAUGGUUGGCGGUUGGCGGGGACAGCUUUUGAUUUGACCCAAAACAGACUGGAGACGUCCUAAACAAAUGCCACAAAACCCAUUUGACAUCUAAUUAGGCUAUUAUCAACCCUAAACAUAGCUGAUAUGAAAACCUACCUCCUUUACCUACCUCCGUACCCUUGCACAUAUGCGCCAAUGGGUUCAAUCUUUAUGCGUCUCCUUUGCCAUAAACAACAUUAUCACAUCGCAUAUCUGGCGAUUCUAUAGUUUCCUCUGAGCACCAACACGUCGAAGUUUGGAAUGCCGGGCGCAGGCUUUCCUUAAGCUGCACUUAUCAUUACCCAUGUUAUUGUAGAUUUUACAUUUCACAUAAAUUAAGCUCUCAGUUAUGCAGUGCUUCUAGGCGGCAGGGAGGGACAGGGUCUGGUUGAGCAGGAUUUGAAUGCUUUUGUAGGAUUGAGUCGGACACUGAAGUGCGACGGCAAAAGAAGCUUAACACGCAAAACAAGUCGUACCGAGCUUUGAAAAUCACGUUAUCAACUGCUUCACAGAGGGUAUCGGAGAACUCGUCCGGGUGGGAAGAAGCGAACGGGACUGGUGGGUCUUGGUAGGUAGUUGCGCACACGUCCGCACACCAUCACCGCCGUCAGCUGGUACGUCAAGGCUCUCUAGGACGUCACACUCGGCUUAACCGCAGUAUAUCUUCACGGACGAUUCAAUCGCUUUUCCGGACCAGUCUUUCCUAAGGGCUAUGUUGUGCCCACAAUCCAUCCGUGUGACAUUUUCCUGUCCGCGACAGGUAUACGUCCCGGAAACCACAAGCCCGUGACAUGCAUGCAACUCCUGUCGAAUUGCACAUAUGUGUGCUUGAAUUGGCUUGUUGGCUGCAGCACGAUUGCGCAGUAGACCGAGGAGGGCUGGCUGGCAGGUGGAUGGAGGAGACCACAGGGCGCGACCACAAGCAGCCGACCAGCAUACGACCGCCUACCCGUGGGUAGCUGGAACUGCCCUCUACCUGCAGCCGCCCGUUUCCGGGUGCCAGGUUCGCACUCACUAUUGCUGUGGCCCCUCCUGCUUUGACACGCCGGAGUAGACCGCCGGUGGCCGGUUUGGCCUCGGCCCACUGCUGGGUGGAGGCGUAGGCUUGUCACCAGGUGCGGCAUGAGCUCGUGAGUGUGCGUGCCUUUUAAGACGAGGCUGCAAAAGGGAAGAAGGAAGGAAAGCAAGGGAAUGGUGAAGGUGGUGGACGACUGCAUGAGGUCAAAAAGCUGUGGGGGGCCCAACCGCCGUAACGAAAUUAACAAGAACUUAGCGAGGGUGGGAGGGUGGGAGGUCCUUCUUCAUAAUCUUCAAGUAGAAAGUAAGGAUAUUAAUAGAAUGACCUGCAAUCAUUUGCCAUUUCUCUGUCACUUUGAACUACAUGAAAAUCAAGGCCAGUUUAAUGUGGGAGGGUGGGAGGGAGGAAGGAAGGAAGGUAAGGGGAAGAAACGUUUUGGGACAGGGACGCAAGGAAUAGCGGGGAGAUGGGGUCCCGACUGCAAAAGCCCAGACACAACACCACUGUCAAUCAAAACCGUCGGAUUUGGACACACCAUCACCAUCACAUCCACCACUUGGAAGCAUGCAUAUUGUCGAAAGGUGGCCUGAGAAAAGUCGCACCGAUCACGUUAGGCUCAAAAACAGCCAUGCAGUAGUCAGUACCUUUACACAGAAUCCAUAAAUGUGCCGUACCCUGCGGAAUCCGUACUCUGCCUGAUGUCGUAGAUGUCCACAGGCUCUGACAGCAUCCAUCGGCGCCAUGAGAGCGGACCCCUGACGUACCCCGCUUGCUGUAAUGGUAUCUCCCCUUGGCGGCUCCAGGGUUCAGAUUUAGACAAUCGGAGAGCCGCUCCAAGAAGAGUAGACGUAGUUGUAGUUGAAGUGGAGUAAUCCUUACGUGAUUGAGAUGUCGUGGUAAGGUCAGCCGCAGGCUGCCAUGAAUGAGACGCAGUCCUGCUCCGCUGUCGAGCGGAAUGGUUAUCAAAACCGUUCGACCGUCAAUCAGUGACGGGCCGAAGUCCCUUCGUCAAUCACGACCGUUGAACCCUAGCCUGCCUAGCCAUUUUGAAUGAAUCCUUCUCGGACGUGACACUUCGCAUGUCACUCAUGCGUUACCACAACACUUGCCUGCCUGCUUGCUUGCUUCGCCGGCUAUAGGGGCUGUGCCGACUUACAUGCCCACCAGGCGAAUGACGGGGAAACCGAAACACUCAACCCAUCGUGCAACCCACCCGCCGGAUGCUGCACACAUCCAAACAUGAGGAAGGCACAUAAGAGGGGGGAGGCACGCGCAUGCGUGUGCUCUCGUGCCAUGUCCGGGCGGGGUCACCUCAAUCUGUGUCCGUUCGUCUUUCUCUUCCCACGUCCUCCCCGUACGCCCGUUAUGAAUACAUAAAAGGAAUUAGCAAAAGGAAUUUCGUCAUAGCUUUUAUGAAAAUAAUCAGAACGGUAUCGUUAGUACGGUAAGCAAUGAACAAAAAUAUAUUGUAAAACUGCUGCCGGGUAAUCCACAGCCAUGUCAAGAACUGCUUUUUCUACCGCGGGCGGCCAUUCAGCCUAGCUAGUGCAGAUGAGAUCUGCCGAGUAGAGGGGAGUCGAGGGGGGACAGAGGGCUGCAUGGCGAUCGAGUGAACGAUGGUGUGUCCUGAUAAGGCCCUCUCCUCCGAGGGACUCCAGGGAGAUCUCAUACCAGAAGAUGCAAGAGCGCAGCUGCACGACGUGAUUGGGUGUUGCGGAGGGACUGGUUACUGAUGGUGAAGCGCGUGGAAAAAGGUGAGGACGCCAAGAAUGGGGGCUACUUAUCUGUCGACUGGGUCUUCAAUGGCCACCACGGACAGGCAGGGUUUGACAAAUGGAGUUUGCUUUAGGAAAGGGCCAGGCCCAGGGCCCAUUCGAAGUCAAGGCAAAUGCACGUCAGCAAGAAUGUUUUUCGAGCUUUGUGCGGCUACAAGCCUAAAGCUUCAAGCAGCUAUCAGCGGACGGGCCUAUUCAGGUCCUUCGAAGCUGGAUCCAUCGCUUUGACCCAUGGGCCCUGAAUAACUGAAACCCAUGCGCCGUACAAACAGAAAGCCCAGAUGCGUUUUGUCAGCAGGAGACGACUUACCUCGUUUCAUGGCAAUCGUAUCUUUCCAUGGGUUUUACAAUCGCUCUUAAAUCUUAGUAGUUACAGCUCGUCACGUUGACCACCUUAGCUUGGAACCUUGGCAUUUUAUGAGGAUUCCAUGAAUUUAGGGUAACCGCCUGAUCCAAUGCUGGGCGUUACGUUUACAAGCAGGGCGGUGCUUGACGACGGCGAGGCGCGAAGGAAGAAAGACAAGAAGGUGUGUUGCCGACUGCCCCGCGCUAUCUUAUUCUAAAGGGAUUUAAAGAACUACUAGGGCAUGAUUAUGAUGUUGUUCAGGAAAAGAAAAAGAAGAAGGAAAAGCGGAGUAAGAAAGAGAAACGCGAAAAGAGGGCAGCAAGUAAGUUAUUGACCAAUUUUCGUUGCGGUGCUUGGAAUUCUUGCCAUGACUGUUGUCUUUUAAUUCAGGCAACAGCUCUGGCGAAAGCGGUUCCGACGAUGACCAAGGUAACCGUGGACGCAACCCGGGCGAUUCGACAGAUGAAGGCCAGGACGCAGCAGCAAACGUUGGAAGCAAAACGGCGGCGCAAGGUGUGUGCCUGAUGGGGCUAGCGGACCAAAGGAGCUCGGGUGGGGGGUUUAACCGGCGGCGAAUGGGCAUCUGCCCUAGCCACUUCCCUGCUGUGGUCUUCUGCGGUGGUGGUAAUUGGCUCACUGUCAAUCAUCAUGACCAAUUUAGCUGCGCCACCAGCCUCUUUUCAGUGUGGUCGUGGCCGUGGUCAAGACGCCGGUGUUGGCCAUAUCCUUCCCCUCUUCGUCGCCCUUCCUGUGUCAACCAGCCGUCUUCCGGUAGCCCCCCCCCCCCGUCCACCAUUCCCAUAGUCAGUUCCAACAAGUGUUUGGUACCGCGUUGCAAUGGCCAUAAAUGCACAACCGACAAGCAGACACCUAAUUGUCGAGCCGAGCCAAACCUCUCCCUUCCUUCCCACUCCAUUGCCUCUGGAUCCAACUCCGCGGUCCCCCUCCGGACAUACAUCCCCCCAACCCCAGCUCCGCCAGCCGAAGGCCCUCCACCCCUACAGCGGGAGGACUGGAUGACCAAGCCCAUGAAGCGCGAGCCCACCAAAGCUGAACAACAGCAUCAGGAGGAGGAGGCGGAGGAGGAGGAGCGGCGGAAGCAGGUGUCCCGUGUGGGGGUGAAACGUGACGCAGCCGUGGGGGGGGCCGGAGGAUGGACAUGACAGGGCCUCAAGAGUUGCCUGCACGCUAAGGCCUGCGCACUAAGGGGAGUGGUUUAGGGGCGUGGUGGGGGGCGCCUGAGGAAGGCCACGGCUGGGGCUGUGCGGUGCGGACCGGGAGUGUAAGCGCGUCCAUGGAGGCUGUCGUCUAUUACUGAAAUGCGGUUACUGACUGCUAGCUACUGCUGCUACUGCUGCUGCUGCUGCUGCCCGUGACAGCGGUGACAGCGGGGGGAGACGUGAGGGGCCCGGAGGAUAAGGAGGGUUUAAACCCGGAAAUGCAUACACAUGCACUCGCACCUGAGAAAUUGGGACAGAGGGCGGCACAUGGACGGCAAUACAUCGGGGGCGAUAUCGGGCAGACGGGGGAUUGUCUCGGAUUGAGAAGAGAAGAGCAGGGUUGAGAGAAGGGAGGCAUGGAACUGGGGCGCGACUCGGGGUUGAGGGUGGAAUGUCGAGCCCUCGGAUUGCCGUCGCAAUCGGCAUGCAGCUGCCUGCGUGUCGUCCUCUCACACCUUGCCCGGUCGGGUUCGAAUCCAGGCAGCACCGGCCGGGUCCGAAGUCGUGGCGGGCUUGAGGAUUAUGAAGACGACUGACUCAGCGGCGCCGGAGGCAGCAGCCGCGGCCGCGGGGAUGGCUACAGCUCCAGCAAGCGGUGGUGGUGGUGGCGGCGGCGGCGGCGGGCUUGUUGGCGACGGCGGAGCCAGUUGGCGGUUGAAGGCGCUUCGUAGGGCGCAGGAGCAAGCCCGGGCUGAGGGUCGCAGCUUACAGGAGGUGGGGGUGCUUGGAGGGCAGGGGGGGCCCCUUCACGGGUGAGGGGAGUGGCGUGCUAAAGGGGGUGCGGGGAAGGGAACGCGCAAACCCGGGUGAGGGGCGGGAAAGGAGCGUACGGGGAUGGACCGACGAAGUGCGGACACUCAUGUCGCAGGAGUUAUGUUCCAUGUGGAGGGGAGGGCUGGGGGGGUCCGCAUCGGGGGCGGAGGGAGAGGAGAGAAAUGUGGACACGAAAAAGAGGGUGACCCUCAGGGGGGCAAAGCUGCACCUACCAGCAGUCUGACUGGGUCCAGGGACCUUUCCUGCCGCAUGACCUUUUCCUUGCACACGCCUGGCCUGGGACACAUGCAUGUGUGUGUGCGUGUGUGUGUGUGUGUGUGCAGCUCGCUGUCAGGUUCUUCACUCCAGGCCACAUCCCCCGGGUCCCCGCUCCCACGUAUAAGGGAAAACCUACCACGACAGCCCCCUUACCCCCCCCCCCCGCCCUGGCAGCACAUUCACUCGUUCGUGGUUCGUCUUUCCCCCCCCUGACGUCCUCCCCCACGUUCCCUCCCCACGUCUUAGGCACUACGGGGCUGCAUGCACAUGCCCCUAGUGCGCGCAGGUUGGCGGGAGCCACGGGUGGCCCCGGCCCGCGCACUUGCGCUUCUCUUCCUACCAACUCCCUCUCCUCCCUUGGGCCUUUCUUUUGCGUUGGAAAGAACGUUCGCGUUUGCGUUCUUUCCAACCCACUUCUCCAUUUCUACCUUCUUUGCGUUGUGCCGGCGUACACGUCGUCCAAUGCGUCAUCCCGUCCAAUGCGUCAUUCCGUCAUCCCGUACGACACCUUCUGUGUCGUCCUGCGCCGCCUUUGCAAUUGUUUUUUAGUUCCUGCGUUUUUCUUCCGUUUUCAUAUAGGUCCAGCUUCCCCGGUCAGCCAGUUUAAUACUCCCUUUCAGCAGCAUUUGCAUGCGUUUUUGUAUUUAUCGUUCGCUGCUCACAACUCUCCCACCUCUCUGCCUCGCAUGUGUCUUUGCCCGCUGCUUCUGCUGCCUGGCCAGGUGAGUCCAAAGGGUGGUUAGAGCUUCUUCGGUAUAUCGCGUUGGCGUCGGUCGGCUAGCCGGACUAGGAUAGUCGGGUCGGUCGGGUCGGUCGCGCGUUUUAGUUUGGGGGGUUGGGAGGAGCACUUGCAUACCGACAGCCUUUCAGUACCAGCAAAUCAGCUAAUUCUCCAGGCCAGCAACUUUAUGCCAGCUUUACGACAGCACUGCUUUACUACUUUUCCGCCGCCUUCACACCACCUACUUUUCUACACCUACUUCUUUACGGCAUGGCAAUACUAUUUCUGCUGCUUUUUUAGUCCUGGCGGCUUAGGUAGGUAGUCUUUCCGACAUCUUCUUCACUUCGUCAUCCCGAGCUCGCGGUCUUCACGGACGCCUUUCGGUCAGUUCUACGUUUGAUACUCUCUUGCCCUGGCAGCAGCUUCACUCGUGUGUGGUUCGUCUUUCCCCCCCCGGGCCCGCAGGUGGUGGGUGAGCGGUGGGGCUCCCUGGCGCAACUCACCGGGGCGCUCACCAGCAGUGCGGCGGCGGAUGGUGGGUGGGGAAGGGGGGGGCAGCAGCAGCAGCUGGGGAGGGAAGAGGGCAGUGGUGGCAUAGCGAUGGGGUGGUAGUGGCAUAGCGAUGGGUGGGGGAAGUGUGGUAAGGAGAUAUGGGGUGGUCAUUUGGAGGGGGAGAGGUUUGGGAGAGGGCAGAUCACAGCACGCACUUCAGACCGGCUAAUGCUGCUGCUAUUGCCACCUGCUGCUGCUGGUGAUGAUGGUGGUCAGGAUCAGGAACUGGGUCAUUGGGGGCGGGCACAGGAUCUCCAGCACCAGCACCUGACCCUCGCAUGGUCUUGUACAGCGGACUUGCACUGCCGUAUCAUCCUGUUUCUCAUGUGCUCUCCACACCCGCCCUCCGUGCGCCGGUGCACGGCUGGUUGUUGUUGUCUGUUGCCCGAACAGGCAAGGCGCAUCUGCGGCCAGCGGCGGAGCGCAGACGCGCGGCGGCGGCGGCGGGGGGGGAGGGCGCCCAGCCCGUGGUGCCGCACUACCUGCAGGUGAGUACGAACGGUUCCGGUCGUACGUACUCCCGUAUCUGAAUGUCGCGGCCAGACAGUGGCCAGGCAUUAAAUACUCUCGUACACUUUCGCAACCAUUGGGUUGUUAAGGGAGGGAAGGUGGACCCGGUGUGUGUCAUGAAGACUCCAACAAAGGACACAGCUCCCUGAGGAGAGAGCCCUCCCUGGUCUAGUCCUUCCCCUUGGCCCGGACCCGCCUCGCUGGGGUCCUGAUUAGGCACUGGUACCUGGCCACCACGUCCACCGGUGCUGCUGGGCAGUGUCAGUUGCCACUCCCCACAGGAUCAAAUACUACUGUUACUGCUACUGCCCCACUACUACUACCCCACUAUUGCUACUGUCCCACUACUGCUACUGCCCCACUACUGCUACUGCCCCAUUACUACUGUCCCACUACUACUGCCCCACUACUACUACUGCGCCACUGCUACUGCCCCACUGCUACUGCCCCACUGCUACUGCCCCACGACUACUGUCCCACUGCUACUGCCCCACGACUACUGCCCCACUGCUACUGCGUCAGGACGUGCGGGGCGAUGGUGCCAGGACCAAGAUGUUGCGGCCCUCCGAGGACACCGGCUCCCUCAGCUGGAGGCGGGAUAGGGCCAGGGACAGGGACACAGAGCGACCGGGGGCGGGGGCGGGGGAGGGGGACAGGAACCUCUCGGACAAGGGACAACGGGAACGGGACCUCGAGCGGCACGAGGACAGCGACAAAAAAGACGAGCGGGGGAGGGGGAGAGGAGAGCGGGAACCAUCAGCAGGAGCAACAGGAGGAGAAGGAGCAGGAGGAGGGGGGCCCGACCGGGGGGCCCAACGGCAAGGGAGCCGCGAGGGGCGGAUGGACGACCCGGGGGGGUCCGGUUGCCGCCAUGACGGCCGUUACGGCGACCGAGGGUUUCAUAACCCUAGGGUUUCGGAGCGACGGCCCGGGGUCGGAAGUGAUCACCCGGAGGACGUGAAGGCGCCCUGGCGGGAGCGAGAUCGGGAUUGGGACUACUCGGAUCGCGAGCGAGGACGGGCGCGGGAGCGGGAGCGGGCGCGAGAGCGGUCCGGGGGACCUGAUGGCGCGGCCCGAGGUGGAGGUGGUGGACCUCCACGGGGGGCCGCGAGCCGCCCCUCCAAGGAGCAGGCAGCUGCACUACAGCAGGUAAAGCAGGAGAGUGCCGUACUCCGUACAACUGUGUUUUGCCGGGCUUCGCGGAGCCCCACUGAUCUCCCCAACCCCUUUUGAGACCCCCUUGCGGUGGCCCCUCCCUCCCAAACGCCUCCAUUCUGUCCCCCCCCCCUUUACACGCACACACCGACAGCUGGCUGGGUCCCUCAACUCCUUCACCAAUGACGGCUCCUUCCUGGAGCGGUUUAUGUCCGUACAUCAAUUGAGGGGCAAAGAGGAGGGAAAGCAGGUACGUGGGGGAGAGUGUGUAUGUGUGUGUGUUUCGUAACGGCCACCCGACACGACCGGUACUGUCCGGCACUAGGGGCCAAGUGUUCAUGGCCACAAUAGGCAGCAAGCGGAGGUAGGGCCCCUAAAGCCGUGUUUGUAUGUGUGUAUGUAUGUGCUCGUGUGCCUAUGGAUGUGUCUAUGCAUGUAUGCGUGCAAUUGUGCUGGCGCGCGCGGAAAUGCGGUCUGUCUGUCUGUCUGUCUGCAUAUCUACCUGCUGGGCCGGUGGUCGCCCUUCCACCUAAAACCCGCAACCCCCCAAACCCCAAACCCCAUACCCGGCAGGGGGUGGAGGAUGCGGGCCCGGGUCCCGGCCCCACCAGCAGCCCUGAGGAAUGGAGGGGGGCAGCUGUAGCUGCACCAGCUGUGGCAGCGGCCCCGGGGGAAAGAGGAGGGGGAGGAGGGGGCGGUGUUGGUAACCGGGGGGUUGCGGCGGUGCCCCCUGCGGGUGGUGGUGCGGAUGCGGGGGCGGGGGCUGGAGGGCAUGGCCGCGGCGGGGGGCGGGAGCCGGGAGCUGUCUCCAACCGCCGGCUGCAUGAGGACGAGGGUGACGAAGAUGAGGAUGAGGAUGGAGGUGACCGGGGGCCUCCGACUGCAGCUGCAUCCAGGUACGGGGUAGUGGGGGGUCGGGGUGGGGUGGGGUGGGGUGGGAGGGGGUUGAGGAGUAAUCAGCCGCCUCGUGGCUCGUUAGUCCCGGCCAGCCUGGCCCCAGGCCGGGCCGCACUCACCUCCCGACAUGCACGCAACAACGUGUUACCACCACCACCACCACCACCACGAGCACCUAAUCCUUCAGGUUUCUUAUUGCCCAAUAAGGGUGGAGGGGCUUUCGGUGGGGAUGGAUGGCACCGUGUGGUGCUGCACUGCUGCUGCCGCUGUUGUUGUUGUGAGGGGCGACACAGUACCAGGAGUGGGCGACCCGCCCCACCUCACAACAGACUCUCAACACGACUACCCACCCACACACCAUAGCUUUCGCCUUCCCCCCUCCCUUGCAAACACACACACAUGCGUACAUACAUACACACAUACACACACUGUGCAGGCGGGCGCCGCUAUUCGUGGGUAGCGGAGACCCCCCCGAACCCCCCGGUGGGGUUACGGGGGGUGGGGGCAACAAGUCAGCUGCUGAGCUGCUACGCGCCCGACUCAAGGGGCUCCCAGCGCCCUCCCCCCCACCAGCUGCCCCCUCUCCCGCAGUGAAGCCGGAUCCGGAUGGCGGAGAAGGUGGGCUGGACCAGGGUGGGGUGGGGGGAUAAGGACUUUUGUUCCCCCCCUCUCUCUCCCCCCUCUCCCCCGGACUUGUCUCCAGGCGGCGCCGGGUUCUCACACCGCAACACCAGUUCCACAUACAGGCUCUGCUUCACUGCCUGUACGUAUGUAUGUAUGUAUAUGAAUGUAUGUAUGUGUGUGUCUUGCCCCACCCAGACCAACCCCACCUAUCAUCUCCCUGCCCGCACCUCCCAUAGCUCCGAGCCGUCACGGUGGCGCUGGUCUCGGAGCUGGUCUCGGCAGUAGUGUUGGCGGUCGGGGGGUGGAGGUAGUUCAGUUGCCGCUGGUGGACUCCCGGGGCCGGGCGGUGCGGGGGGCGUUUGGGCGGGAGGCGGCGGGGGCGGGGGCGGGGGCGGGGGGGGAGGGGGCAAGUCGUCGUGGUGGCGGCGGGAAGCCCCCUGAGCGCUACAAUCGACAGACGGGGGAGAAGGAGCGCUACUUUGCGGAUGAUGACAAGGUGUGGGGGGUGGGGGUGGGGGGAAUUGUUGGAGGCGUGAAGAGCGAGGGUGGAAAAAGAGGGGGAAGGGGCUGGAGGGGGCCCCCUCCCCACCAACAAAGGGGGGGUCGGGACUGCGGGGCGGGCAAGGUGGUGUCGUGGUGGUGGUGGUGGUGGUGGGGAGGGUGAUGCUGGGCCUUGGCUCGCAGACAGACAGACGGACAGAUAAAACCCUAAAUCCCCGGAAUUCAACCUCGGGGCGGGAGGAGGCGGGGUUACAGGGGGCAAUGGCGAUGUUCGCCUGGCUGGCUGGCUGGCUGCCUGGUGGUUACGCGGCUGGGGGAUCUGUCGGCCAUUCAUGACGUGUNNNNNNNNNNNNNNNNNNNNNNNNNNNNNNNNNNNNNNNNNNNNNNNNNNUAUGACUCCCCCCUCCCAUCUCCCGACAGGUCGACCUGCAGACCAUGCUCCGUCGUGCAAAGUACGGCGAUGACAACAUGGAUAUGGACGAGCAUUUGGCCGCAAACAUCGCCAAGAAACGGAAGUGGGUUGAGCAUGGAGUAUGGAGUAUGGAGCGGGGGUUGUUGUUUUAGGGUUGUUCUUUUCCUUCGGAUAGAUAGUUCAGCACGGAAAGAAACGGAGAGUUAACCUGAAACCCCGGCAUGUGUGUGUGUGUGUGUGGGUGGGUGGGUGCACUGCGCCAGUGGUGCGCAAAAGGAGGUGCAGGGUAGGAGGACAAACAACGGCGGAUUUGUGAUCCGCGCAACCCUCUCUAUCUCACCACAUCACCCGCCGUGAUCACUGUAUCGUACACCGUACACUGCACCGUACCGUGUGGUGCCGUACGUAUAACCCCCCCCACACACACACACACAAAUGCAGGUUUCGGGGCACCGAGCUUGAUGUGGACGCGGAGUACGAUUAUGACGGCGGUUUGGAGUUGUACGAGAGUCGUACCAAGCGCGGCAAUACGGAAGCCCAGCGCAACCGCGAGCGCAGUCGUCAGGUGGCGGAUCUUCGGCGGCAGGCGUCGGCGGAGGCGGGGUGUGCGUUGUGUCUGAACAGUGAGUUGUCACGGUUGUUAGUUGGCCCUUAGCGGUUGGGACGUGUAUCGGUGUGUAUAGGUGUGUGGGUGGCCCUCUGUCCCUGAGCACCUCGGCCGCUGUGGUGCGGGGCCCGCCCUCGAACCGGCCAACAGGGGAUGGCGCCCCUGCCUCCCUCCCUGUGUAUGUACGUUUGUACAUAUAUAUGUAUGUUUGUGUGUAUGUAUGUGUGUCUAUAUUUGUGUGUAUGUCGUUAUAGGGUGGUUAAGCUUCACCAGCGGCCCCCUUUCCCGAGGCAGUUCCCUGCUCUCCCCUGCGAGAGGGGCACCCUAAUCCGUGUGUAUGUAUGUGUGUAUCUACGUUUGUGUGUAUGUAUGUUUCUUCGUUGUGGGUGUGGGUGUAUGCGGGGCUCCACCCUAGCCGUACACCUCCACAACCCCCACCACCCCGUGGGUCAGUGACUUCAUCGCUUUGGACUCACCCCCUUCACACCUUGAUCAUAUGAUUCCCACCCAACCCCUUUCCGCACUCCACUCCAACCCCCUCCAAUGACCAUUAUAACCCCUCGGCUACCCACCCCCUUGCUACCCCCCCCGGCUCCCCCCCCCCCGGCUACCCCCCCCUCGCCCGGAUGAUGUCAGACCCCAACCGUGCCAAGCACCUGACCAUCGCCCUGGGCACGUGUACCCACCUAAGCUUGCCGUACCGCGGUCGCCUGGUUCGGGGACACUGCGUCAUUGCGCCCUCCGAGCACUGCCCCUCUGUACGGGGGCUGGAUGAGGUGACGUGGACGGAGGUCAAGAACUUCAUCAAGUGCCUCGUACGGAUGUACGGCGCUCACGGCCAGUCGGUCAUCUUCAUGGAGACGUACAUGAUGACGCGAGGGCGAGGGCAUCCACAUGGCUUCCUCGAUGUCGUACCGGUUUCGGAGCGGCAGCUGGAGAAAGCCAGGUAGGCUUGCGGGUUCGGGGGUAGGGGUGGAGGUUUGGGGGUGGGCCCCCGCGCUUGGUUGGAAAAGGCCAGUGCAGGGGCAAAGCAGUAAGCGGGGAAAAAAUUGCUGGAGGAGGAGAGGGGGAGGUACGGAAAAAAGGAGGGGUAAAACCCACACAAGGCCCCCCUCGGGCUGCAAGGACGUGCGUGGUGAGGUCCGUCCGGCCCCUCGAUUACUGCUCGAGGGCGAACCGUAGCCUUGUAGUGAACCAGGCUUUAAGACACUAAAGCCUGGUGGCUUGCGGGGUGGGGAAGGCCGACAGACACCCUGGCACACGGUCGGGGUUUGGGUUGGGACCUAGACAGAAGGUGUGAAGCGCCCCGCGGGGUUGUACGAGGGCUAGGAGUUUCCUAGCAGCCUUACCCUUUGAAGUCCCCCACAGUCCCUUCAGUCCACCCACACCCCCUAUCGGUCCGCAUUCGCCCCCUCCCGCCAUCCCGCCCUCCUCCUUUCACCCCGUAACCCGGCUGGGGCUGGGAGGGCCCUGCGACACCUCCUUCCCCGCACACAUUCGCCCCCUCCCCAAUUACCUCCUCGUCUUAAGCUCGCUUAGGACUCGCUAGGGGCAGUUUCGCACUUUGGACGCGGGACCACGUUCAUUUCUGAGUUUCUUGCAUCCUGUGAUUUCCCCCGCUCUCCCGAAUGACAAAACAAACGAACGAAACGCCUCAACCGUAACCCUCCCCCUCCCCCCCCCUGUUUUGCCUUCACCCUGUUCUGCCGGCGUACACGCCGUCCAAUGCGUCAUCCCGUCCCAUGCGUCAUCCCGUCCAAUGCGUCACUAGGUCAUCUCGUACGACACCACCUGUGUCGUCCUACGCCGCCUUUGCAAAUCUUUAUUACUUCCUGACUUUUCUUCCAUUUUCAUAUAGUUUCUUUAGGUUUUCUCAUUCCAGCUUCCCCGGUCAGCAAGUUUUAUACGCCUUUUCAGCAGCAUCUGCAUGAGUUUUUGUUUUUUUCGUUCGCUGCUCACGAUUUUGCCACCUCUCUGCCUCGCAUGUGCCUUUGCCCGCUGCUCCUGCUGCCUGGCCAGGUGAGUCCAAUAAGGUGGUUCGAGCUUCUUUGGUAUUUCGCGUUGGCGUCGGUAGGCUAGCCGGAAUAGUUUAGUUUGGGUCGGUCGGGUCAGUCGCGCGUUCUAGUUUUUUUGGGGGGUUGGGAGGAACACUUGCAUACCGGCAGCCCUUCAGUAUCAGCAAUGCAGCUUUCUCUCCUGGUCAGCAACUUUACACAACUUCUACGUAAAAAAUGUUUUUCUCGCCGCCUUCACUACUUUUUCUACACCUACUAGUUUACGGUUUGGCUAUAUUAUUUCUGGCGGCUUAGGUAGGUAGGACUUCCUACUUCUACGUCAAAUCUUCAUCCCGAGGUUACAGUCGUCAUCCCGAGGUUACAGUCGUCACAGUCGCCACGGACGCCUUUCGGUCAGUUCUUUCGGUUGCUACUUUCUUACCCUGGCAGCAGCUUAAAUCGCGUGUGGUUCGUCUUUCCCCUCCCCCCCCUCCCCUCCCCCCACCCCCUCAUUCCCACAGAGGCUAUUUCAAGAAGGCCAUAUUGGAGGCGGAGAGUGAGUGGAGCACCCACCACGCCAAGGCGUGUAUAGAGACGACCGCACAAAAGGUGUGAAAGUGGGGAAGGGGGGGAGGGGAAGGGGGGAGUGGAUGGGGCGUGGGGGAGUUUGUGGGGUGGGGGAGGGGUGGGGGGGUAACCACCCGAACCCCGUCUGGGAGAGGCAGGGGGAGGCUAUGAGAGGGAAGCUGUACGUGUACGACGCAGACAACCCACCACAUGGCGGCACGUCCUUAACCCCAUGGACCGUGUCCUCUCUCCCUCACACGCACGCACCUAUAUACACACAUUGGCAUCUUCCCCCCCCCCCCACACAUACAAUUUUGGUGCAGGGCCUGCGGGAAUCCAUACCACCCAACUUUCCGUACUUCUACGUACAGUUUGGGUACGGCAGCGGGUACGUGCAUGUUAUUGACAACGAGGCCAAGUUCGACCCCAACUUUGGCCGACAGGUGGGCCCGGGGCGGUGUGUGUGGGAGGGGGGAGUGAAGCUGUUUGUGGGUGGUAGGGGCCACGUUUUGACCCGGACCAUAACCCCACCACGCUCCCCUGCCGAAUAUACGAACACACAUACACACACACAAGUCCUUCCACCCGUAUUUCUCCUCCCUCCGCUCCUUACUUGGGCUUGCCCUACCUCCCCUCCCAUCCCUCUUUCCUCAUCUCCCCCCAGGUCCUGAUCGGGCUGCUGGACCUGCCCCCGGAAAUGGCCUUCCAGCGCCAGAAGCCCGAGAGCCUGGCCACUCAGCAGCAGUGGGUGCGCGAGUUCGAAUCCCAGUGGGACCCAUUCGACUGGACCAGGCAACUGCACCAGGCGGCAUGACGUAGGCAGCACAGCGCGCCAUGAUGCACACCUAGGCAUCACCUAGACUUCACUCACGCCUGAGGUCGUACAAGACCAAGCACUCGAGUUUCUCCUGCCGCAACCGCUGUACGAUUACAUGUAUACGCCGUGCAUGUGCAUAUGUACCAUUUUGUAUAUACGGAUGAGGGGAAGGCCUUCCAGGCGGGGAUGAAGGCGGCGGUCCUGUUUAGGCAACCGCAGUCGAGGGACCUUGCAAGUUGGGGGUGGUGAGGUCACCUCACUGAGGUGGCGGUGGUUGGUUGUAGGAGUGGUUGCCGUUAUUAUUUCCGUUGUAAUGCGGCGGUAUGUCAGUCCAUGUGGCGACACCGGCCUUCGAGCCAGAACAGGAAACUAGACGGGACGUAGACCUGACCUGACCUGACCUGACCUUGGCUGUGUGGGUUGGAGCGUGGAAAUGAGGGGGGAAAUUACUGGUUGGUUGGUUGGUUGGUUGGUUGGUUGGCUCCCAUCCCCACGAAGGGGAAUCUCCGGAGCCUGCGGCCCUGCUUGCCGAGGAGCUGUGUGUGACCACCCUGUGUGGGAUUACGAAGCAGGUGAUGUGAACCUGCUGACGGGGCUGGAGCCGGGGGGGUCCCAAUGCUUGCCGGAGUUGUUAUUAUGCCGGCUGGUGAGGUGGUGGUGUGCGGGGUGAGGUGGUGUGGUGGUGGGGGUCGGUGGUGUUUGCGGCUCGGCUGGGGCUUGUGGCAGAUGUGGUGUGGUGGUGGGCGUGGUGGGGGGCCGGUGUCACCCUACUCUCUGUACGGAACGGAACUGUGCACUGUUACGUACCUGAUAAUAAAUACACGGCAUUAUGACGACCAUAUAUACGUACAUACUUGAAUACAUACAGACGUACGGACAUACCUGAAGUAAGAUGCGAAUGGGCGUCUGCAUGUCAGUCUGCGUGUGCGUGUGUGUGUGUAUGGGACCUCCUGCUGAAGUACCACUGAGGGGGAGGAGGAGGAGGGGCAGAGGGCUACGUGUGCUAGGGUAGUGGGGUGGCGGGGUGAUGGGCGCCGUCAGGGGGGGUACGACCUGACCCCACCCACUGCCCGUACACGACACGACACGACACGACACGAGGGACCGGGAGGUGCACCCAGUGGCGGAGCAUAUGAGCUGUCUAGCGAGCGGCCGGGCGUGUAGCGGUCCGCAGCCCCAGCGGCCAUCAGCACCACCCUCAGGUGAACAAACUGCACACAUCGACUCAGUAUAUCAGGACAUUGGACGGACACAGCUUUCAUUCACUUCACUCCGCCACAACACGAUCAACUACCGGUUGUUUUAUUAAUUUGCUUCUUCCGCUCAGUCCAUUCAGUCCUCUAAUCACACGGGCUGGUGGAGGUGGGGUUAGGGGCCCCGGGCUGCUACCCACCCGGUCUGGCCGCCUGGGGAGGAGGGGGGUGCAAGGGGGGCAUCCGCGGCCGUUAAGUUACAAGUGCCGCACGAGUGUUAGGGGGUCCGUAAAAGCCGGAAGGCCAUGGACUAUACAUAUUGAAAGGUUGAUUCCACCGUACGACCGACGGCGGUUUGGGUCCUGCCAACUAGACCCCUCCUCCGUUUCUGGAACCGCCUUCAAAAGCAAGUGGGAUCCAUUGCUCAUGCAGUUUUACGGCAGGAGGUAACCGAUGCCCUGACCAACCCGGAAUGGGAGGGUUGGGGAAUCUCAAUGUUACGACUGUUUUCCUUCUUGGAGUGCAACAUUUGGAGCGGAAUACCGCAAGAAGUCGUGGGGGUAAAGGAGCGUGUUGACUGGUUGUUGAGUAGAUCUCUACCAGAAGGAGCGAUAAUAACGGCACUAAGAGAGCGUUUGAUGAGCGGCUGGGACCAUACGCGUCUGACUGUCUUGCCAGAGGAGUACCCAUCAGAUGGGAAGCAACCGGGAGCGCAAAUGGCGAAGUAUAAGCACUGGAUGGGGCUGCCCUUUUCGGGAGCCGCAGCCGUCAUGUGGCCAACACAUGCUAAGGUUUUCAUUCCUCGUUUAGCACAUCGUAAGCUAAUGCAGUUUCGUUUAUGUUGCUGGGCUUUGGAGGCGAACAGAGCACGAAGGGGCAAGUACCAUGUCCCCAGGGGGCAGCGGUUUUGCCACUGUUGUGGUCCUAAUAGCCGAAUUGAGGAUGAAAAACACGUGUUAUUGGAAUGCCCAGCCUAUAAUGAUAUUUGUGCUGAAGAGGGAUUCGAUCAUCAACAGAGUAUGUUGGAGGCCAUGCAAUGGGAACCCGCACGUCUGGCGAGGAUGUUGGAACGUAUGUGGGCUCACCGAAACUCAAUUACCCCCUUUGGACGCUAGUCUGGGCUGAUGUGCGGUGUUUUUCCUUUUCUCCGUGGCUUUUGGGCGUUGUAGUAUUGCCCUUGGGCCUUCGGCUCGUAUGGGUAGUCUUACAGGUAUGGGGUCACGCACCCCCAACCAUGUAACACACACACACACACACACACUGAAGACCCCUCCUCAUCCAGUCACCCAACAUCCGUAGAGACAGAUCAGCCACCACCACCAUCUCAGCAUGCGAAACUUAGUCCAUCAACUAGACCUCAUCUCCACACCUCUGUAGCGUUCUGUGUUACUGUCUCUCUUAACUGGUUCUGGUGGCUGUGGAUUGGCUGACCCGAUGGUGCUGAACGGCGUGGUUUGGACAAUUUUGGCGAGAAUUGCACCUCUGCCAUGGGCCUUACACAGCAGACCGAAGAGACAUUUGCUCACUGGCGAGGCCCAGGCUGCGGGAGACGGAGAGUUUCGCCUCCCCGUCGCGCCGCGUGUAGUGCUGCACCAUGGCGUCGCUGCGCCACCGGCCGUGCGCCUUGUGCAGGUCCGCAGGCACACCGCGAUCGGCGGCAGUGCUAUUUCCUCCUAUGCGCAUGGAAUGCGCAGUGAUGCGGCGGGUGAUCCCCGCCGCCUGCAGGGUCUUGUUGAGCCGGUGGCAGAAGGCAGGGUACGACAGGGAGUGGAUCGGCUGGGCCACCGUGCCUGUCAGAGGGCCCGACAGGUAUCCCCCGGCCCUGUUCCACUGGACCGGCCGCAGAAGGGGCCCGACGUCCUCGUCUGGCGUGUCUGGGCGGCGUUUGUACCGUCCUAGGGUGAGGAGGCGCUCUGUCAGGCCUACGGGGCAGGCGGCACCGCCGACACGGGCGAUGGGAACCCAGUGACCUUGUCUCUGCUGAUCAGUCUUGGACCGAGGGAUGAAAACAUCCAUCCCAGUUGCCGUGAUAACCAGAAGGUCCUCGUGAACGCUUAUCUCCGCAGCGUCAUCAAACCGAAAGAACCCUGCGAACAUGACUGCGACGGCCGUAACGGUCAUCAGCUGGUCGAGGGGCGGUUCCGGCCCACCAAUCAGCCAGGCCAGCACCGUGACGUCUGCCGGCUCCAGGGCGUCGUGUUCCAGCUUGCGGCCUUAGAGUUGCUUUUCGGCGAGGUCACGGACGAUGCCGCAUGCAGGGUGCUCUGUAGGGGACACUCUGCCGGCCAGGCGGAAGUAGGAGCUGAUUGCUGCACUCGCUGUGCGGACCCGUCCAGGCCCCACCUUGUCUUCCUUGGACGAGUUCAGCAGGGAGAGCAGGUAAAGCGCCACCACCUCGCCCGAGGUGUCAUAGAUGCUUCCGGGCAGUUGCCUGGCCGCCCACCACUCGCGGAAAGGUUCCCAAGACCGCGAGUAUUCGUUGGAUGUCCGCGGGUCGAGUGUCUGACCGGCCACUUGGGCAAACUGAGUCGCCAAAGUGGAGAGCUCCGCGUCCGCCUCCGCACCAAGAGCGACCAGGAGAGCUUCGGCCCGGGCGUCUAAAUCUGUGCGUGGGUUGCGGUCGGAUCGGUGGGGACACGGAUGCGGUUGAUGUUAGAGGCCGAGAAGUCGACCAGGAGGGCCAAGGUGGACCAGCGUGAUGCGCCUUUGGGCAGGGGGACCCCUGAGGUGCGGGCCAGGAAAACAUCUGAGGCCCGGCCGAGCACGCGGGCUCCGCUCAUGAAGGGUUUGAACCAGACCCCGUCGGCCGUGAUGAAAGGCCACCAGUCGCGGGUAGGCCAGAAAGGUGCGACAAGGCAGAGCCGGGACUUGCAGGCCUCGGCGUGCUGCAACACCUUGAGGAGGAGGUGAAAGGGCGGGUUCGCCCAGCACCUGCGCCCCCAUGAGAACCUGAACGUGUCGACUCCAGACGUCAUUGGGGUAAAGUAGCGGGAGUAGUCCCCAUACGCGGGCUGUGCCCGACGCCAACAGAUCUGCGAUGGCUUCGUCAACGAACGCGGCGUUGGCGGUUGCCGAAGCGUGAUUGCGGCCUGAGUGCUGGGGGGGAGGGCUGGAGUCCCAACGGAGUGGGAAGCCCGACGUGAUCCACGAGAUGACCAGCACGUUCACAACCCAAGCCUUCCAAGCGCUCUUUUUGCCAGAGAGGCGUCCUCUCAUCUGGGGCGGCGUGGAAGGCUGACCCGCUGCUGGUAACGACCGAACUCCCUACAAGGCGUUGUCGGAAGUAGGACUAGAAAAAACUCCCCUUUAACCUUCCGGAAGUCACCCGGGGCCUCAGCCUUCGCACCUUCUGGUGCCACCGCGGGACGGGCUGGUUGUUUCCGAUGCGUGGCGGCCAGGCUUGCCGGGACUGAUGCGGGGUCCAGACUUGCCGGGACUGAUGCGGGGUCCAGACUUGGCGGGACUGAUGCGGGGUCCAGGCUUGCCGGGACUGAUGCGGGGUCCAGGUUUGGCCGACGGGCAGGGGCAGGGCCCGGUGCGGGCCGUUUGGGGGCUGGUGUGUCGUCGGGGGCUGCAGCAGGUGGGCCACGCGGCUGACCUAAAAGGCGCUGCCUUUUGAAUUGGCUGGCGUUGCGACUGACGGACAUCUGGGCGUCUUCCGCAAGGCCCGGACGCGAGAGGGCCUCUACCCCUAGCUCUGACAGGAAAGCGAUAGCAUCGUCAUGGGAGAACGAAUCCAUGGUUCCUUAGACGGAAUUCACUGGCGAUGGUGAAGGCCUGCGAGCGUGCACCGGACGGACUGAUGGAGACACGGGCGAGGCGAGGAAGUAGAACAACGCUUAAAGAAGUAUGACAGGCAAAAAACGGGUCCCCCAGCCGGCCGGCUGCCAAGGCGACUUAAUGGACCGCUUGACUUGACGCGAAUUGUCCAAAGAGUACGGCAAACGCUGCCACAGAGUGAACCCGUACGACGGUCUGUUCACAAACUCAAGACAAGAAAAGGCGAUAGAAGGAAAGCGGGAGAGGAAGACACCGCGAAUAAAGAAGGCAAUCGACGAUGCUCACGUCUGCGCGCACGGGCGCCAACAACUGCGCACGCGGGCGCCUCAAUUGCACUCGCGGGUGUCCAACUCGAUGCUCGCUGGCAACUUCAUCGCGACCAGAAAAGGUUACUCCUGCGCAUGCUGCGCUGACCGGCGUUGGUCCUUAAAGAAUUGAAACGGCGCGCGGGCCUGGAAGACUGAGCAGGGCCCGCGGGCCCGCUUUAUGGCGCUAACACCAGAAAUUCACUACUUGCCGCUGCGGCGGCCAUUGCCAUUGCGAUCACUGCGAUCAUAGCGCUCUGCAUCGAGACUUCCGCCGUAGUCAUGACCUCCACGCUGGCCGCCACCCCUGUGGUUGCUGCCGCGCAAUCCGCCACCGCUGACAGUUUCUAAAACCGCGGCGCCUGUUUUAGCAGCGCCGGCCGGCGGGGAGGACCCAGUGGCGCCUAAACCCCCACCAUCCCCACCUGGAACAGUGGAGACGUUCUCAGUCGAUGGCGCAUUAUCAUUAAUAGUUGACAUUGGAAGAAAUUGAAAUCGGAAAACGUAAAAAACUUGAACAAAUGUGGAUCGGAAUUGAAUUGGUAAGGCUUCAAGUACAGCCUGUCACGCUGACUAUUUGGACAAGGCUGUAUGCUCUUCUGUGUGAAGGCAGAAUAACUUCACCAGGAGAGCAGCAAGGUUUAAGUCGCCACUGCGACCCAGUUGUACGACAGUACCGCAGAACUAGCCUUAAAGGCUCCAGUCGCUUCGCUCCGUCGCAUCUAAGCCAACAGUUAGUACCUAGACCUCCCGAACAAUGUCGGGUGUCUAACCAAGAAUCGAACUCGGAAGCUUCAUAGACACAAAGGCGCCACCAGACCAGGGUUCGACACUGACCUUCCUGAAACUUGCGGGCUCACCCGUACCUCCCAAAUUUUGGUUACGGAGGGGCCCCCGUACCAGGCUCCUGUACCGGCCGAAAACCUUACGGGGGCCCCCGUAACCCCCGCAAAACCUUUACGGGGGCACUGUCCUUGGCUGAAACGCUGUGGAAAGUGACGCUUUGCAUUUUUUUGCCCUGUAAAUCGUUUUUUUCCGUUAUUUUCACCAGAGUCUGGUGACCAGACCAGACCAAUAGCACGCAUGGCGAAGGUAGGAUGACAUAAUUUUAGAGAAAUACAAUUAGGUAAUAUCGUACGUGUGGGAAGCAUCUUUAUGCUGACAUCCAGAUUCGAACUGGAGUCCUCCCGCUUACUAAGCGGGUGCCCUAUCAAACUGAGCUAUGCCAGCGAGAGACCCUAAGAGCGUCCAACACAGGGUGUGCUCAAGGAGACACGUCCCCAGUCCAUUGUGUGAAAUCCGCCCCCGCCGCUUUGCAGUCCGCUUCCCCCCUGAUUUCCUGCCCACUCGGCGGCGCAGGUUAUAGCAGCGGCGGCGGUGGCGGGGACCCAUCAUGGGGUUAUGAAUAACCCCCAGAGGCCCCCUCCGGUGGACAGCUAGGGGAAAUUCAACAGCAGCAGCAGCAGCAGCAGCAGCAGCAGCAGGGGUACGGGUAUGCGGCACACGUAGGCACCACUCUUCCGGUCUGGUUUCACACACACACAAAAAUAUACGUCUACAUAGUCUCGCUCUUCAUAUAUGAUGUGUGAAACAGGGGGGUGUAUCUUCGCCCGUGGCAGCUACCCUGCGAAAUCCUGCCUUCCCCGGUAUUUCGGGGCACCCUCAUCAAGUCACCCUAGUCAACUUCACAGUGGAUCGCUCAGGUUCCGCACCCACCACCAGCAUCCAACGGAAUCUCCCGGACCGACAGCGGCCCAUCUCCAUUCCUGGUCGGCUCGCAAGUUAACUUUACACCAGGUCACCACCGUCCAUCACCUAAGAAGGAUUCUAUACCCUAACGGGUAUCGAGCCCGGGAUCUUCCGGGGGCAAUGGUCGCGCGUUACCAGUUGUGCCAAACCCUUAUAUAUAUGUAUAUUUACGAUAUACAUGUAUAUAUAAUAAUAGAUUUUGUAUAAACGAAGUGGCCAGUCGUGAUAGCAGCCCUGUGCAGUCAAGUGCUGCCCUUCCUACAAGCUAGUGCUUGGCCGUGCCAGCUGCGCAUCGCAAGCGACUCGAAAAUGCUGCCGGUCGGUUAUGAGGCGUCUGACAUUUGCUUAUUGCCAUUGAAGGGAACGAAUCCGUUCGUUUUGGAGGAAGAUGAGUCUAUCUAACCAACUCUGUUACCAUCGUCGUACGAUACCUAGAUCGCCUGGAUGGAUUCUUAUCCACAGCAGCACGGCACUAUCGGUACCGUAGCUACCGUAGCAGGCAGAUAAGGCAAGGGGAAACAGUUAAGUGCCAAAAACAAGAAGUGGAAAAACGAUCCACAUGAAUAUGAUAAUCACAGGCGUUCAGUUUUGGGGUCCUUUGGCGCCUUGCCGCAACUUCGGCACAUUGGAAUUCGACAGUUCUACAGGCGCGAGCGACGAUCCAAUCCUAACAAGCCAAUGUCAUGACCGAGGAUAACUUUAGAGCUCAGACGCCGGGGGACGAACCAUGUGAAACGAAAAAAUCCUUAAGAAUCAGUUAUGCUGCAAUCACGCCAAUGCCUUGCAUUGUUGUUGCUCGUCCCUGCAAAGGAUCUCCAACAACGCUGGAGUUAAGAUAUAUUCAUGUUUAUUUGGUCUAACUGGUUUUGACACUUAAGGAAUACAAUAACUCCAAUUUUCCUUGUCCUUGAAGCGGUUACACACGUGGCCAUCGCGGGUUGCGUUCGGCUUGCACCUUGACCAUGCAGCCGUACACUCGGCGCGUUACAAUUUCCCGUAACGCCGACACGCAUGUCACAUGUCAGAAUCGCGCUUCUGUCUACCAAAUGGUUCCGGUUACUCGGAUAGGUAUCAUCUGUUCCUGCCUUUUUAUGAUUGUAUCGUAGUAAUAGCCGACAAUACUCAGGUAAAUAAUUCUCCAGCCAAAGGGGCGCGGCCUAAGAAGCGGUCUGGCUCUGCUUGCGUAACUCCGGAAGAGAGAGAGCUCCUCGGAGACAAGCUUUUGACGACUUUGGAAAUUCACGUAUGUCUCGCGCCCAGCUCUCCGCUGCUAAUCAGGCUGCUACUGCUGCGCGUUUCGCGACGACAGCUCAAUAACUCUGCUUAAAUAACACGGUUUCAUAUCUCAGCGCUAAUAACCUCAGGCGUGGUAAAGAUAUAUAGUCAAAGCUUUUGCCAACUUCCCGCGUUGAAAAAGUUUUGAACUCUAACCGACAUAAAACAGUGACGACCUUUAUAACAGAACAACAGAACAACAACGAAAGCGCAUAACUUUGCAAAACAAUAAAACUAUCAGACCAAACAGCACCGGUAAUACCGUUAUUGCCUUUAGUUCCGUCUUCAUCAUCAGUCCGCGCGUCGGUCCGCUGGCAAUUACGGAAGCAUCAACAGCCACGCCGCCGCCGAGUGCCAACCAAAUCCGCGUCAUGCUCAGCAAGCAUUGAUGCAACCAUCACACCGCGGGCGCGUGGUGGGAUUGUUUCCUCCUGCGUACCCAGAUAGCUAGCGACAUGUUACUGAGGUAGCUCAGCAGCAGCGGUGUACUUCCCAUCCGCACCGCCCACCCCCACAGCACAGGCCGUGCACUCAUGUAAACCAGGCCGCGAUCACUCGAGCUCGCAGGACUAUGGAAAAGUACUUUUGCGUUCGUAACACGCAUCAUCGAGGUGUAACUACAAUGCUCAUGCAGUCUCAUGCAGUUAUCUAUGCCCUCUGUGUUCCUUCUUCACUUCGUAAGGCGCUCUUCAAACCAGAAGGCGUGGGAAGUUCUUGCGACGUUGUUUGUCGCUGUCGGGUUACUGCGCUUACGGGGUCGUAAAGAACAUUUCCUGCCUCUUUGGACAUCGGCAUAGACACCUUUCCAAACAGCUGUAGAUUUUGGUCAGGUUGAGAUCAUUAAUUCAGACCGCGAGAUCUCAUUCCGCUGUCGUUUAAGCAAUCGCCAGCGUUGCCGACCGUUGCCUCGCGCGAUAGUUUCGUGACCUUGGAAGAUUCGCUCCAACGGUUUUAUGCACUACUGCUGGAACAUCAGGUAGAUGUGCACGCAGGCGCACGUUGGGAGCUACUAGAAAAGCAAAAACGAAUGAUUUCAUCGGAAGGAUGUACGGUGCCUCUUUGUCUUCAGUAUUGAUGGUCGUGCAAAAUGCCUCCUUCAGCCGGGUCGUGAAGCGGUAACCGUCAGGCACCUUCAGCCGACACGUGAGCCAUAUAAAAAGAUGUAAAGGAUGGUAAGUUUUUUCCAUACAUUUGAUGAGAGCGGCUUAAGGUAUGUCGCCUCAUUAAAUGUUUUGGUCCUCGGCGCCCCAGCACAUGGAGCGACACAGGCGAUGUCGGGGCCUGGCCCAAACAGGUCGCCUGAUCUGCAUCAGCACGGCGAUCAUUAUGUAAGUGAAGUUAUUUAUCUGUCAUUAUUUAUGAUCACGUUGUCGCUCGCGUCCGCGAGGUGUUGACGGUGCCGGAAUGUGAAACUGCAGGGCUUUCGCCCUAGCCUGCGUCUCUAGCCGUAAUCCUCAGAUAUCAGCACAUCGUAAUAUUCUUUACAAUGAGCACUCAAGCCUGUCAUUAUUGGAUUCUGGGCCUACCUUUUGCCUGCUCGUCUCCGUCAACGCGACGACUUGCGAGCGGCAAGCAUUUCAUCUUUCUGGUUUAGAGAGCAUCUAUAUAAACAUAAGUAAGCCCAAUAUGUGAAUAUAUUGCUCCGUUAAUGCUGAAGGCUUUUGUCGCGCUGUCGUCAAGCAUCGACGUCCUGCACGAGCUAAUACCACCUGCUCUCUUUCACACAUGUCCUUUAGGAGUUUGUAUACGGUAACGAAGCAUAUUAUGAAGCAUAACAAAUCAUAUUUGAUGCUCAAAUAUUGCAGGGCCAGAAUGCUAUGAUUCCAGCAUUGGGUUGGUGGCGACACUGCAGCAGCAUGACUCGCCGGGUGGAAGCGUCACACCCCUGGAGUACGCGCUCGAGCUGCCUACCACCAUUGCAACAGAUAAAUACAAUAACAAAGAUCUAUCAGUACAGCUGCGCGCAUCUGCCGGCUUCAGCUCAUCCAUCUUGGCUGAGCACGGGCGGGCCCGUCUUUGUGUGCGGCUGGGUGGCGAUGGUGUCGCAACUGUUCCCAAUCAGUGCGCUGUCGCAUCCCACUGGUGUGCUCCAUCCACCCAAAUUGAUGCCGCUCUUGCUGAUGCUCAUCCCUCGUCGCCACAACCCAGCUGCUGGGUGAUGCUGCAAGAUGCCGCGGGGGGUACCUGCAUGCAACCAGCAAUGGAGGUACUCGAGUCCGGGGUCCACGUUGCGGCCAAGCAAUCUGCGGAGGCUCUGCGGACAGAUGAGCCGCUAUUGCAUCACCAAGGAUCCCAGGAUACCGCUGCGGCGACCCGGCCCUGGCUGGGCGAACGAAGCCUCAUGUCUGAAGAUGCCGGUCCGCCGCCAAGUGACUCCGACCCGCAGUCGCACCCGUAUGGUGAGGCUGAUUCCUCACUUGGACAAACCCAAACCCCAGAUAUGCCCCAGCAGAAUCUCCCUCCACCUCCACCUCCACCUUUCCCUCCCCCUCCCCCUCCCCCGCCCCCUCCGCCUCCACCUCCACCUUCCUCCCCACAGCCCCCCGACUCAGCGACCGUCCCGACAUCACCCAAUGAGUCCUGCAGGCUCUGCAUCAAGAUUGAGGUUGUGCCGCCCGCAGUUGAAAUGGUGGGAUUCCAGCUGAAACUGGAUGAGGAGCGAUGCGCGCAGGCGGCAUCCAACAUCGCGACAGCAAUGGGCAACAUAAAGGGCAUCGGGCUCCGGAACUACAACAGCACCGAUGUCCUUAAAAAGCCAUUCAAGCUGAAGGCGUGUGAUCCUGGCGAUACGGCUGCUACAGGCGCCCGCAUGCAUCCCUACAUGACUGUGUGCGGUGCAUACUUCCGGCGACCACACGUCAUCGAAGCUGUUUCAAAGCGACUGGCAAACGGACUACUCCAGCGCUUCGUUGACGAAUUGCUGCCUGAGUGGUGCCCGCCGCGAUCUGCGGCCCCGUACAACUUCACCGCUUCCGUUGUUGCGCCGCGGCAGGAAGAGCGGUCAUGCUUCUACAGCUUCCAGCGCCGGAGCUCUUGCAUCUCCCGCAGUCCCCAAGCCCCUAAGCAACCCCUUAUUUGGCGCCCGCGUCAGCCACCUAACCGUCCACCGCGACCCCCGAGCCCAGAGCCAGACUUCUUUUACCAGCCGCCGCCGCCGCCCUCGCCGCCACCUUCACCCCCCGGUCCGCCGCCAUCACCGCGACCCCCUGCUCCACGACCUCCCUCUCCUCCGCCUCCGCCACCACCACCCAGGCCGCCGCCUCCAUGGCCGUACCCGCCACCGCCGUAUGUCGACCUUGUCUGCAUCCGUCUGGCAUAUGACGGCCUUAAACUCCUCAACGAGAGUACCACAUGCGGCGGGGAGUCUGGAGCCUGCCUGUGGAACCUUAUGUACACCGUUUUUAACCACGGCAUUUACGCGCUCAAUACAAGAGGGAUCGCACACACUUGGACAAACCGCUACUGUGGGGACAAUGAUAUUGUCCUUUGCAGUCCCAUCUUCGUCAACGACACAAGUCGUGCGCUAGACGCACUCAGCCUCGCCCUGCCGAAGAUUUUUGACGACAUCUUCCCCCCGGGACGCAGGUUCAGCUGCUUUGAGCCCGGCAGCAACCCGAAUGCGGAUGCGACGCAAUGGCGGUUGCUGCUCGGGGUGGGACCCUUCCCAGGUUACCCGGGAAGCAGUGUCAGGCUUCAAGUGGACUGCAAGGCAACGUUACUCGCUGUGCCCCCGCCAAACCCACCCGCCCCUUCACCUCCCCCCAGUCCACCCCCGCCCCCCUUCAAUCUGCAGUGCCUCAGGCCUGACAGUCCCACUAUCCCUUUCAAAGUGACCGGCGUACAGGUCUGUAUGUGCAUCUGUAUGUGUAUCUAUGUUUCUGCCAGUUUGUACGUCUGUACGUCUGUCUGUACAUCUGUGCGUCUGGGCAUCUGUGUGUGUGUCUGCAUAUCGAUUUCCAACGUAGCAUGUUGAUUGGCGCCAAUUCCCCAUAACGCUCUCUUGGAUUGGUUGCAUGAUUGGAUUGCCAUCACUGCAUCCCCAAAAACUGAUACGUCGUUGAUUCGUCAGCAGCUGGGCCUGCCGCCCUACAUCCUACAUCCAAAUCAUUCUACCUACCCUUCUUUUACCACUGCCACCACACCGUUCAGGUGGUGCAAGACCUGGCGUUGCCAAGGGGACUGCAGACACCGCCACCGGCAUGCUUCUCCAUCGAUCUCAAACCACUCCCAACAGAGCCACUUCAGCCCCGGAACGAUGUGAGUGCCUACGAUCCCCAUUACAUGUACUCUGUGUGAGGGUGCGUGCGGGUGUGUGUGUCAGUCUGUCAGUCUGUCAGUCUGUCAUUCUGUCAUUCUGUCAGCCUGUCAGUAUGUCGGUCUGUCAGCCUGUCAGUUUGUCAGCCUGUCAGUUUGUCAGCCUGUCAGUUUGUCAGUUUGUCAGUCUGUCGGUCUGCCGGUCUGUCAGUCUGUCAGUCUGUGAGUCUGUGAGUCUGUGAGUCUGUCAGUCUGUCAGUUUGUCAGUCUGUCAGUCUGUCAGUCUGUCAGUUUGUCAGUCUGUCAGUCUGUCAGUCUGUCAGUCUGUCAGUCUGUCAGUCUGUCAGUCUGUCAGUCUGUCAGUCUGUCAGUCUGUCAGUCUGUCAGUCUGUCAGUCUGUCAGUCUGUCAGUCUGUCAGUCUGUCAGUCUGUCAGUCUGUCAGUCUGUCAGUCUGUCAGUCUGUCAGUCUGUCAGUCUGUCAGUCUGUCAGUCUGUCAGUCUGUCAGUCUGUCAGUCUGUCAGUCUGUCAGUCUGUCAGUCUGUCAGUCUGUCAGUCUGUCAGUCUGUCAGUCUGUCAGUCUGUCAGUCUGUCAGUCUGUCAGUCUGUCAGUCUGUCAGUCUGUCAGUCUGUCAGUCUGUCAGUCUGUCAGUCUGUCAGUCUGUCAGUCUCAUCCACUUAGUGCCCAAACCCCAAGUCCCCGUCGCUCCACCCCCCUCCCUUCCUACCCCGCAAAACCCCCCAGCCCGCUCACCACCGCCUGAUUCUUGAGUGAUGGCCUCCCACUCAAACAGGACUGUUGAUUGCCGCGUAAUGCUCUACAUAUUGGUCCACUCUUCACUAUUCACACAUCACCAUCUAUCCAUCCCAUCUACACGCCGUACACAUCUCCACACGACACAAGCCGUAUGCACAUCUGCCCCUCCCCCUGUUCCCCGCGCGCAGGGCUGUUCGAAUACCACACAGCUCCGGGGCCUUAUCCUGAUGGUGGACCCCUCCGUCAAGGCGAGAGACAGUAUGUAUAUCAUCUACCGGAGUGCAUGGGUCGACCGACCGGCUGACAACUCCUACGAUUCCCUGCUUUGGAAUCAGCUGCCGUGGAAUGUCAGCGCACCUGGGUACUUGUCUGUGCUUCAGGACACUCCGUCAGAUUGGGGGGUGCGAUUCAUGAGGUCAUGGGGAGGUGUACAACUGUGCCUGGGAGAUUUCCCAGUCAGCCAACUCCGAGACUUGUGCAUGGGCAAUUCCUGCACAAUGGCCUUAUACUUCUCACCGACAUGCUGCGUAGCUCAAAGGGUUCCAAUCAACAAUGUGUUGCCGCCGUCGCCGCCGUCGCCGCCAUCGCCGCCGCCGGGUCCGCCGCCAUCGCCGCCACCGCCAUCGCCGCCAUUGCAGCGGCCAUCGCCGCCGCCGCCCGUGCGGUCCUCACCCUCGCCCUCGCCAUUAGCACAGUCGAUCCCUUCGCCGCUGCGUCCUUCGCCGCCGCCACCGCCGUCGCCGGCUCCUCCAAGGAAUAGCCCACCGCCGCCACGGGCGCUUUUGCAGCGACUGCCGCCGCCACCGUCGCCACAGAUGUCGCCACCCCCGCCUCCUCUGCCGCCGCCGCCACCACCUCCUCCGCCUCCACCGCCUCCACCACCACCGUCACCAGCUCCACCCGGGCUGCCGCCGCCGCCUCCUCCGCCGCUGUCGUCCCCUCCGCCACCGCCUCCACCACCGCCACCUCCUCCUCCACCUCCUCCACCACCGUCGCCAGCUCCGCCUCAUCCGCCGCCACCUCCUUUGCCGCGGCCUCUACCACCACCGCCGUCCUCGCCACCGCCGUCACCGCCUCCGCCUCCGCCGCCACCACCAUCGCCNNNNNNNNNNNNNNNNNNNNNNNNNNNNNNNNNNNNNNNNNNNNNNNNNNNNNNNNNNNNNNNNNNNNNNNNNNNNNNNNNNNNNNNNNNNNNNNNNNNNNNNNNNNNNNNNNNNNNNNNNNNNNNNNNNNNNNNNNNNNNNNNNNNNNNNNNNNNNNNNNNNNNNNNNNNNNNNNNNNNNNNNNNNNNNNNNNNNNNNNNNNNNNNNNNNNNNNNNNNNNNNNNNNNNNNNNNNNNNNNNNNNNNNNNNNNNNNNNNNNNNNNNNNNNNNNNNNNNNNNNNNNNNNNNNNNNNNNNNNNNNNNNNNNNNNNNNNNNNNNNNNNNNNNNNNNNNNNNNNNNNNNNNNNNNNNNNNNNNNNNNNNNNNNNNNNNNNNNNNNNNNNNNNNNNNNNNNNNNNNNNNNNNNNNNNNNNNNNNNNNNNNNNNNNNNNNNNNNNNNNNNNNNNNNNNNNNNNNNNNNNNNNNNNNNNNNNNNNNNNNNNNNNNNNNNNNNNNNNNNNNNNNNNNNNNNNNNNNNNNNNNNNNNNNNNNNNNNNNNNNNNNNNNNNNNNNNNNNNNNNNNNNNNNNNNNNNNNNNNNNNNNNNNNNNNNNNNNNNNNNNNNNNNNNNNNNNNNNNNNNNNNNNNNNNNNNNNNNNNNNNNNNNNNNNNNNNNNNNNNNNNNNNNNNNNNNNNNNNNNNNNNNNNNNNNNNNNNNNNNNNNNNNNNNNNNNNNNNNNNNNNNNNNNNNNNNNNNNNNNNNNNNNNNNNNNNNNNNNNNNNNNNNNNNNNNNNNNNNNNNNNNNNNNNNNNNNNNNNNNNNNNNNNNNNNNNNNNNNNNNNNNNNNNNNNNNNNNNNNNNNNNNNNNNNNNNNNNNNNNNNNNNNNNNNNNNNNNNNNNNNNNNNNNNNNNNNNNNNNNNNNNNNNNNNNNNNNNNNNNNNNNNNNNNNNNNNNNNNNNNNNNNNNNNNNNNNNNNNNNNNNNNNNNNNNNNNNNNNNNNNNNNNNUGCAACCGGGGGGCCGUCUCCAACACGGUCCUACUGCAGCUGCUGCAGUCCGUCGUCGUAAACGCCGCCAACGGCAACAACCUGCCCGUGGACUGGUCACAGCGGAUGUGCACUUCCAGUGAUGUCAUGUUCUGCACCGACAUCGCAACCGACGAGUUUUCAAGACUGGCAAACGUGUUGAGCGGUGUCAUGCCCCAAGUCCUCAAAGCGCUAUGUGAUCGUGCCGGAACCCAGCUGGCGUACUACAAAAGCGUACGGCUGUGGUACGGCGGUAAUCCGUUGGUUGGUGCUCAGCAGAUUGAAAGGCUGGAUUUCGGUAACUGUCUCGCGCAGCCGCCGCCAUCGUUGAUGUCGCCCCCUCCCCGGCCUCUGGUCCCCCUGCCGUGCGUGUACGGCUCCAACGCGUCAUCGGUUGGACCGCUGAGGCUGCGUCGGGAAGUGCAGGUGGGAGGGUUUGGGAAGGGUUUGGGAAGGCGGGGGGGGCAGGAGGGAGCCAGCUGACUGAGGAGCUCUGAGUCCCCUCCGGCCGCCCGGGGGGCCACCCGGACCGCACUGUGCCCCCCCCCCUCCCCAACAUGCUUGGCGGGAAACACACCUGCCCCUUAGCACCCCCUUAGCCCUAAAUCCUGCCCUCUCCCCUCUUUCCUUCUUCUCUCUUGUUAUGAUGUCGUACGCGGGUAUGGCAUGUACGUCAUGUUGGGGGCAUCUUUGCGGAAUCCCUGACAGCACCCAGUGAUGCGCGGACCUACCUACCUCCGCACGUACCCCCCCACCUGAGCAGCC
rnacentral:lncRNA from 1 species